rnacentral:lncRNA from 1 species
UCUUGACUGGUUUCCAAACGAGAAAAUCCAGAUCGGAUGACAGUUGGACCAAAAUUAAAAUUUAAAACUAUUUUAUAUAUAUAUAUAUAUUAAAGAAAAAAAUUGAGAGAAAAAAUAGAAGAUAAAAAAUAUAUAAGAAAAUAGAAAAUAGAAAAUAAGUUUAAAAUUAAUAAAUUAUUUUUAUGUUUAUUUAUUUUUAUAUUUUUCAUAUAAAGAUUAAAUAAAUUUAAAAUACAUAAAUUUUUUAUUAAUUUUAAUUAUAUUUAAUUUUAAACACAAUAAAAUUAUUUUUAAAUAAUUUUUAUUUUCUUAAUAUUUUUCAAGAAUAAAAAAUAACUUAUAGGAAACCGAUGAAACGUUAUUGAGUAUUUAUUUCUUUUAGAAAUUCAAACAUGAAGUUGGUUUUGAAUGGUCAUCCGUGAAUUGGUCAAAGUUUGUAGAAGAAAUGACGCCCACGGACCACGUGCCUUGGUUUCUUAGUCAAGCUCUAAUAAUAACAAAAAGUCAAAAAUCAAUCAGUAACAUUCUUGGUUACUUCCAAGUUUCAAUUAUAGUGGGAUUACUUUGAAAGUUCAAAGUCUCUUACAAAUUACGACUCCGUCCCGUGAAUACAUCAUGUUUUGAAAUGUUUCAAAAUUUUAUUUUUUAAACAAUUUUUGAAAAACAAAACAAUUCUUAAUUAUUUUUUAAAAUUUAAAUAUAAAAGAUAGUUUUUUUUUUUUAUUUAUACUUCAAAAAUAUACUAUCUAAUUAUAUAUAAUGUCAAAUAUUUUAAAGGAUUUUUCAUAGUGUUAAUUAUCAUUUAAAACAUUGUAAAACAUAAUUAAAAAAAAACUUAGGUUAUGGUUGGUUUCGGAAAAUAUAAUAAAAAAGAAAUAGAAAAGAAAUGGGUAAGUAUGUCUUUUUAAAAGAAUACUUUGAAAGGUGGGUUUAAAAGAUUAAUUUGCCUUAAAAGAAAAAUAAUUCCAAUUUUCAUUGGAUUAGAGCAAUUCAAGGACAUAUAUCAUUACAAUCUAUAUGUUUGAUAAGACUUGGAAGAUUGUUUUAUAAAUGAUUAAUUUUCAUAAUAUUUAAAAUUUAUUUGAUGAUGAUUUAAAAAAAAUGUUUUUAACGUUUUUUAAUACUUGAAAUUUUUUAUUUUUUAAGUAUUAAAAAGACUAUAAAUAUUUUUUUAAAAUUUCUAUCAAACAUAUUUUUAAUUUCAUUGAACUCAAAGUUAACUUCAUGUGUUAAUGGAUCAAAUUUAAUUGAAGUAUUGAAUUUUAAAAUUAAAAAGAAAAGACAAUUUUAAUUCUUACACCAAAAUAAUUUUAAAAUCAUUUCUAAUUAAUGAAAAAAGAAAAUUCAUUUAUAUUUAGCUCACUUGCUUAAUCCUGUCAAAAUGAUUUUUUUAUAAGCUCCCAUAUGUAUUUAUAAAUUUUAUAUAUUUAAAAAUAUAAAAUCAUAAAAUACGUUUGUAAAUAUAAAUAUUAUAUAGUUAAAAAAAUUAAAUAACCAAUAAAGUAAAAUUUUAUAUAAUUUGUUAAAAAAUUAAAAUUUAAUUUAUUUUUUAUUACUUUUAUUUUCAAAAUAAAAUUUUUAUAUAAAAUAUAAUAACUCUUACCAAAAAAACAAAAAUUCACCUUGUAUUCUUAAAACCAAUUUUUUUCUACUUCCUUAAGCUUUAAAUUUUUUGUUUAUAUUAAUUUCCAUCUUUUAUACAAGAUUUUCUAUUUUUAAAAAUAAAGGAGAUGUAUUUAAAUAUGUAUUAAAAAAAAGUAAUUAAAAAUUAUUUUAAAAUAAAAUAUUUAUAAAUUAAAAAAAUUAAAACAAGUUAUUAACAAAUUUAAUGGCCUAUAGACUCAUUUCGACAUAUUAUUUGUGCCAAUUAUAUUCAAUUUAACUUGAGUUGACCAGGUCAACUAUCCAUGUACUUUGAAGGAGUCAAUGGUCAAUAUAAAAGACAAAAAACAAAAUUAGUUGGUCCAUAUAAGUGUACUCAAUUAUUUAAAUUUAUUCUCAUUCUCACAAAAAAAAAAAGACACUAGUGGACAAAAUUGGGAUAGGUGAGAGAAUUUCUCAUCCCCAACCAUCUUAUUUAAUUUUUAUUUUUAAAAAUUUAAAUUAUAUUAGAACUCAAUAUAAUUUAUUCCCAUCUUAUUUAAUUUUUUAUUUUUAAACAUUUAAAUUAUAUUAGAAAUCAAUAUAAUUUAUAAAUUUAUGCAUUAAAAAUGAACAAAACUAAAAAUAAUUAAAUUAAAUUAUUUUAAAUUAUAUUUAUAAUCGAUGGGGUGAUAUUCAAUCUCAAUUUUUUUUAAAAAUAAAAUAAAAUAAAUUUGUUUCUAACUCUCCCUAAAUUCUUCGUAUCUUCAAGGAACAUACAAACAUUCAAAAAUAGCUUCUCUAAACGUUCUCAUUAGACAAACAUAUUUCAAAUAAAAUAUAAUUGAAUGCAUAUUUGUUAAUUUAAAAAAACAAAUAAAUAAAAAAAUCUAUGAAAUCAAUAUUGGAAAGUCACAAUAUCCAAAAAUCAAUAUAAUUAAUACUAAAAAGUCAUAAAUCAAAAUUGAUUGGAAACCGGAAAGACUUUCCUUAUUUUCCAUUUUUAAUAUAAUUUUAAUUUUUUUAAUAUUUCUAUUAAAUAAGUAAACUCUAAAUCAAGUAAGGUUAGUGUAUUGGAUUCAUAAAAAAUAAUUUUUAAAAAUAAUUAUAAACUUAAAUAUUAACCCAAUAGAUUAAAAAAAUUAGGAGCAAAAAAAUUAUAUUUUUUUUUUUCCGAAUUUUCUCAUUAAAGUAGCUCCAUUUUCUAAACUAAUUAAAAAUUUCUAUACUUUAAUAUUUUCUAAAAUAAAAUCAUCUUUAAAAAAGAAUUUAAAAACUAUUUUUUAAAAUUAUAAUAUCAAUCAUAUUUUAUAUACCACCAUUCUUUAAAAUCGCUUUUAUCACUCCAUUGGGAAAAUGUAAGAAAAAAAAAUAUAGAUGAAAAGAAAAGGUAAAGAAAAAUAAGAAAUAUAUUUAAAGUUAAUAAAUUAUUUUUUAUAUAUUAAAAUUUUUAUAUAAAAAUUAAAUAAUUUUUAAAAAAAUAUGUAAUUUUCUUAUACAUUUUACUCUCCUCCAUAUUUUUCAUAAUAAAAUUAAAUAUAAAAAAAUUAUUUUCCUUUUUUUUUUUUAAGUACUUUCCGGGAAAUAAUACGACCCUAGGAGUUAUUUGUUAUAAGACUUAUUUUAUUUUUAUUGUUUCCUAAUACUUUUCGUAAAGUAACAUGAACUUGAUUUGUUCUCAAGUUUUGACAACUAAUUUUCUUUGAAAAACGUGUCAGGGGAAAUUCUUGGCAAUUCGGCGCUUUUUACUAUUCCAUAAAGAAAAACAAAAAAAUCAAUUUGACGUUUAUGAUUUUAAUGACCAUCCUUUGUGUUUAGUUCAUGGAAAGAAAAUAAAAAAUGAUUUAUUAAAAGUGAAAGGAAUACGACUGGUGAAUGAUAUCAUCAAUCAUAAGCAAUAGUACUUAUGUAUUAUAAAAUUUAUAUUCAAACAUAAAUUUUAUAAAAAAAUCUAUUAAUUAUAGGCGAAGAAAUAAAGAAAGAAGUCGUCAUUGAUAAAGAGGUGAUAACCAUCUUCCGGAAUCAAUCAGGAGACUUGUAGAAAUUCACAGUAACUCCACGUUUCAUAAUCUGUCUCAAAUUCUCAAGUUCUCUAAAGAACGUUGAAGAUGAUAAAGAGGUGAUAACCAUCUUCUGGAAGCAAUCAGGAGACUUGUAGAAAUUCGCAGUAACUCCACGUUUCAUAAUCUGUCUCAAAUUCUCAAGUUCUUUAAAGAACGUUGAAGAUGGGUGAGAUGAGAUUUUUGGCUCUGUUUAUUCUUCUCUUUUGAGUACUGAUUUUUCAAGCAGCAGAGGCUAGAAUCAGAAGGUAUAAUUGGGAGGUGAAGUUGAGUACAAGUCUCCUGAUUGCUUCCAGAAGAUGGUUAUUGCCAUCAAUGGACAAAGCCCCGGUCCAACAAUCCUGGCCGAAGAAGGAGACACCGUCAUUGUUGAGCUCACAAAUGGUUUGUUGACAGGAAAUGUCGCAAUCCACUGGCAUGGUAUGAGACAUGUAGAGCAAAGAUUAAUAUAUAAUGUUUUCUUUUUUCUUCCCCUUUCUGGGCUUAAUUUUGCAGCUCUGAUGGUUCAUCUUCUUGAUAAUUACAGAUUGGGACGCCAUGGUUUGAUGAAACGGAAGGGGUGACCCAGUGUCCAAUCCUGCCAGGAGAUACCUUCACAUAUGAGUAUAAAAUGGAUAGGGUAAGAUUGAUCCGUGGUCUUAAUCAAGAAAGUUGGAACCAGUACUACUUUCAAUUAUCUGAUGAUAUUAUUCUUUGGUGUAUGCAGCCUGGGACUUAUCUAUACCAUGCUCAUUACGGAAUGCAAAGAGAAGCUGGGCUGUAUGGAUAGAUUCGUGUGUCGGUUACUUGUGGGAAGACUGAGCCCUUUUCCUAUGACCACGACCGGAGCAUCAUCCUCACUGACUGGUACCAUAAUACCACUUAUGAACAAGCCCUGGGCUUGUCCCCCAUUCCUUUUGACUGGGUCGGGGAGCCUCAGGUGAAUGCCAACCACUACUGCUUCCGCCAUAGCAUUCUGGUUUGUUCUGCUCUUCAUCUUCUGAUGUCUUUUUCUGUCUGUUAAUUUUUCAGUCCCUUCUCAUUCAAGGAAAAGGAAGAUACAACUGCUCCCUAGUUUCAAGUCCUUACGUCUGUAAUGCAACAAGUCCUCAGUGUUCUCCCUAUGUACUCACUGUAGUCCGGGGAAAACAUAUCGCCUUCGGGUCUCCAGCUUGACUUCCCUGUGAGCUCUCAGUUUCCAAAUAGAGGUUGGUAUAAUUAAAAACUUCACCGUGGUUUCUUAUUCCUUGCUUCUACUUGGUCAAGUCAUAUUCCAUACGAACUUUUCUUAGCCAUAUGGAAGAGUUUUAAACAUAUGAGGGGAUUUUGAGUCCAAAUUGAAGAAUAUCUACCCAUUUCAAAAUGGUUUAUUACAAAAACUAUGCAUGUUCUGAUACGGUUUUAAUUUAUAACGCUGCAGGUUCACGACAUGACUGUAGUUGAAGCAGAUGGGCACUUUGUGGAACCCUUUGUGAUAAAAAAACCUCUUCAGUUACUCAGGGGAGACCUAUUCAGUUCUGGUGAAGGCUGAUCAAGACCCUUCAAGAAAUUACUGGGUCACAAUCAGUGUGGUCAGUAGGAACAACACUGUCACUCCUCCGGGCUUGGCCAUCUUCAAUUACUACCCCAACCAUCCCAAGAAGUCUCCUCCAACGAUCCCACCCGCUGGCUCUCUUUGGAAUGACGUCGAGCCGCGCCUCAACCAAAGCCGUGCCAUUAAGGCUCACCAUGAUUAUAUUGUGCCCCCUCCCCACACCUCAGGCAGAGUAAUCGUGUUUCUAAACACUCAAAAUAAGAUAAAUGGUUAUGUUAGGUGGUCUGUCAACAACGGCUCCUUUAACUUCCCGCACACCCCCUACCUAAUCGCUCUCAAAGAGAAUAUAACUGGAGCCUUCGACCCAACCCCACAUCCAAAUGGUUAUGAUUUUGUAAACUAUGAUAUCUACAAUGUGGCGAAUAACACCAACGCUACAUCCAGCAACUCAAUUUAUAGGCUGCAGUUCAAUACAACAGUGGAUAUUAUACUGCAAAACGCAAACACCGUGAAUACGAAUAAUAGCGAGACGCACCCAUGGCAUCUCCACGGGCAUAAUUUUUGGGUACUGGGCUAUGGAGAAGGUAAGUGAUCCAAUAAAGUACAAUCUGAUCGACCCAAUUAUGAAGAACACAGCACCUGUUCAUCCUUAUGGAUGGACUGCCUUAAGGUUUCGAUCUGAUAACCCAGGUACCUGGGCAUUCCAUUGCCAUAUAGAGUCUCAUUUCUAUUUGGGUAUGGGAGUUGUUUUGAAGAAGGGGUGGAGAGGGUGGGAAAGCUGCCUUCAUCUAUAAUGGGUUGCGGUAAAGCCAAGGGUCUCCGCCGGUAGUAUCACUACAUGGAGGUAGGUUUAUGGCCACGGCCAGCAGCCCCGGCUAAAAGUAAGACACAAUGCUGAGGCCAGGCGAAUCUAUGGGCAUUGAACAAGCGAAUCUAUCCAUUAAUUUAUAAAUUGAUUUGUUGGUUUCUCAAGAUGCAUAUGGUCCAAGUUGGUCAAAGAGGUGGGUACGUGGGCAUUUAAACACAGUAUCACAUUUAAAACACUAGCAUUUGGGAAUUUCAUAGAAGCUUUUGAUAUCGUAAGAACAAGAGAGAAAGCCAAACUCAAAUCAAUAUGAACAACCAAGUUAAAAAUGUAGCCAGUCAUUUGGUGGUAAAGUCUGAUUACUGAACCACUCCAGCUCUGCAUAGGCUCAGGCUUAUUCAUAGAUGAAACAUAACGGAUAACGUUUUUCAGCAAUGGUAGAAUAUGUUUGGCAAUGAAGUUCUCCUGGAAAAGUCCACCUGAAAAGCCAAAGUUGAAAAUUACCUUUUAAAGCUGCACAUAACAUUUCCAGAAAAAACACCAAUCCCACACCCAAAGAACUGAAAAUACCUACCCUAACCAGCACAUGAGAUAUGGACCAAUUGUACAUUCUUCCACUUUGCAGAAGUUCAUAACCUGGGUCCAUUUCCUCACGGCCCAUACAUUUGGAUGUGAGAGAGGGGCAAAGGAAAACCACAAGAAGAAACUCCUCCGGAAACAGAGCAUAACAGAAAACAAAUAACAAGAUCAACAAAUGAGGCUUCACUUCAUGGGUUAUCAGUGAGCCUGCUAACUAGAAGGGCAAGACCAAAUCAAAUGUAAGCAUGUACGAUAUUCCCAAGCAUCUCACACUAGAGGCAAAACAGAGCAAGAUUCAUCAUCUAUUGAAACUAAAGGGAAUAACAGAGAAAGCAGUAACAACAAGCUCACAUCCAUCCCAAAGAUCAAUAGAAAGAUCAAGAAUAGAGCCUAUUAAACCAGAUCUAAACAAAGUGAGAACCAACAGGGAGGAAAUCAAAAGAUGGAGAAAACAGAAAGUAAUAAAAUAUUUCAUUUUGAUCUUUUCCAAUUCGUUAAAUUACCUCCAUUGUCUAAACUAAAUAAAUAAAUUCUAUACUUCAAUAUUUUCUUUUAAGUCAAACAUAUUUUAUAUUCCCCCAUUCUUUAAAACCAUUUUUGGGAAUUACUAUGUUAUUUCGUUUUAAAAUACCCUCCAUUGUUCUGAAAUUGACUGGGCAAAGCGUAUGGUUGCAUAAAUAAGAGACAAACAUUUGGGGGAUUAGUACAAGCAUACAACCCAUUCCCACAAUUCGCAGUAGCUCCACGUUUCAUAAUCUGUCUCAAAUUCUCAAGUUCUCUAGAGAACGUUGAAGAUGGGUGUGAUGAGAUUUUAUUAGUUAUUAGAAUCCAGAUAUAGGAACUUGUAUUGAUUGGAUACGGAAAGAGAAGACUACUUAUUUUUUUUGUGCUUUGCUAGGUAAGGUAUACCAAGAAAAAAAACCUAUUUAACAAUGUUGAGAAUGUUUACAGUUUAUAAUGAAACUUAGCAAAGAUUUUCGUUUUUCAAACCCUGGUUUGUACCCAGGUCGUUCUAUAUCCAUGUGACUUACUAUUAGAUUAGAUUUCUAUUAGAUUUGAUUUGGGUUGGAGUUUUUUAUUUUUAACUGGGCUCAUGUCAUGAUUUUGACUCCAAAAAUUCACCAGGAUUAGGUAGGUAUACCAAAGCCAAAGAAAAGAAAUAUCACUAACUCUUUGAUUGUGGACAGGAAAAUUCAUAUGUAAUUUACUUACAAAGAUUAAUGAAGAAAAAACAAAAUGAAGAAAAAUUUGUUUGUUUAUCCGAGACUGGAAAAAUACCGAGUGGAUCCAUUGAAAUGCGUUUUUUGUUUUUCAUUUUUUUAUUUUAUAGGGCUUAUUUAUUAUAUUAGGGCUAUACGGACUCGAACCGUAGACCUUCUCGGUAAAACAGAUCAAACUGAUUAUUAUCAAAAUGAUUUGAACUGUUUCAAAGACCCAACAUGCAUUUUUUUUGCAUUGGGCUCUUUCAUUAACUGAUAUAAAUAUCAGUUAGUCCACCAUAUUUUUUCUUAACAGAAAGAUAAAGAGAUGGCUCCAUGUGCUCUGAUUCAUUAUUUUGAUUCUGAUCCAGGAGCACUACCAAAGUUUUUCAAAGAGGGUUAUCUUGACGUAGGUCUGCCUUUGGCCUAGAUCAACUUAAGUUAAAUGGAGUCUCUAUCGUUCUGAUUAAAGAAUCAAAUAUGAAACUUCAUACACCUUAAAGUUCAUAGGACGAAAAGAGAUUUUUUUUGAGGUCCUUAUACUCAUUAGGCCUAGCAUUGAAUAGACUGGGUAUUCACCUUAUCAAUAUCUCAAAAUGAUGGGUUCUAUUUGGCGCUUAAAUUAAAUGGGCACCCAAAUCGGACCGAAUCGUUUGUCAGGCUAUUGUUCUCUUGUUCCCUCAAAGUCAUGGAGUAAGACAUCGAUUUCUCAAUAAGAUCAAUGCAUGAUGGACUCUCUUGAAAAACAUUGGCGCGCGUGUAAACGAGGUGCUCUACCUAACUGAGCUAUAACCCUUGUACUUGUGAUACAUAUUUUAUCAUGUAGAUAAUUUAUUGUCAAGAUGAAUAUUCCAUGAUCCAACAUGAUAACUCUUUGAUCUGUUUGAUUGGUAUUGCUUAUAAAUAAUAUUCUAUUUAUAAUCCAUCGAUGUGAUGGGUUCCAUUUGUUUCUCCUUAGGAUGAUAAAUGACCUACUUAACUCAGUGGUUAGAGUAUUGCUUUCAUACGGCGGGAGUCAUUGGUUCAAAUCCAAUAGUAGGUAGAACUUAUUAGAUACCAGAGUCAAUGGUAUCUAAUAAGUUUUCUACCCACCUUCUUUUAUUGAUUUUGUAUCUUUUCCAUCCUAUUCUAUUUGCUUUUUGGCUUUAAAAUGCAAUUUUAUUUUUCGUUGCAUCAGAAUCCCAUUCCAUUUGAUUGUAUUUGAUUGUAUUCAAUCGGCAGAAUCAAAAUAGGGUGUAUAAACAGAACUUCUUUUGAUUUUUCGGGCACAUGACUAGUUACGAAGUCACAUUGAUAGCCUCUACUCGUGUCCUAGCUCGUCUAAGAGCUAGAUUUGCCUCAAUUAUUUGUCUCUUGCCUUCAGCUUUCCUCAAGUUAGCUUCCGCUAUUUCAAGAGUUAGCUUCCGCUAAACUUAUGAACAUCAUUCAUAAGUUUCUUUAUUUAUUUUCAGUUUCUUGUAAUCAUCGUAAUUUUUUUUAAUAUAAUAUGUUAUCAUAUCCAUCAACAUAUGUUUAACAAAUGUCAAAAUUUUCUCUAUUUAUUAAGUAAAGACUGGUGUAUUUUUUCAAGUUCAAUGUAAUGUCUAAUAUUUUUGAGUAACUAAUUUAAUUAAUUGGUGAAUCUAUUAUCCAUCUCAAUUAGCAUAUUCAUUUUUGGAUUUUUUUUUAUAGGAGUUAUUUAGGAUUUUUUUUUUAAUGUUUUUCAAUUUUCAAACAAACAAUUUUCACGUAAAGCAUUUUGUUUUUUUGUAUUUAGUUGCCAAUAUUGAAUGUAAAAAAUGUGCUUUGAAGUCAACGAUUUUGGGAAUUACUAUGUUGUUUCGUUUUAGAAGAUCCUGCAGUGUCCUCAAAUUGACUGGGCAAAGCGUAUGAUUGCAUAAAUAAGAGACAAACAUUUGGGGGAUUAAUACAAGCAUACAAUCCAUUCCCACAAUUCGCAGUAGCUCCACGUUUCAUAAUCUGUCUCAAAUUCUCAAGUUCUCUAAAGAACGUUGAAGAUGGGUGUGAUGAGAUUUUUGGCUCUGUUUAUUCUUCUCUUUUCAGUACUGAUUUUUCAAGUAGCAGAGGCUAGAAUCAGAAGGUAUAAAUGGGAGGUGAAGUAUGAGUACAAGUCUCCUGAUUGCUUCCAGAAGAUGGUUAUUACCAUCAAUGGACAAAGCCCCGGCCCAACAAUCCUGGCCGAAGAAGGAGACACCGUUAUUGUUGAACUCACAAAUGGUUUGUUGACAGAAAAUGUCGCAAUCCACUGGCACGGUAUCAGACAGGUAGAAAAAAAUAUUAAUAUAUAAUGUCUUCUUUUGUCUUCCCUUUCUGUGCUUAAUUUUGCAGUUCUGAUUGUUUAUCUUCUUGAUUACAGAUUGGGACGCCAUGGUUUGAUGGAACAGAAGGGGUUACCCAGUGUCCAAUCCUGCCUGGAGAGACCUUCACAUAUGAGUAUAAAGUAGAUAGGGUAAGAUUAAUCAGUGGCCUUAACUAAGCCUCUUCCCAACAAGCUUCAUCUCCAGAAAGUUGGAACCAGCACUGUCAAUUAUCUGAUUAUAUUAUUCUCUGGUGUAUACAGCCUGGGACUUAUCUAUACCAUGCCCAUUACGGAAUGCAAAGAGAAGCUGGGCUGUAUGGAUCGAUUCGUGUGUCGGUUGCUCGAGGGAAGACUGAACCCUUUUCCUAUGACUACGACCGGAGCAUCAUCCUCUCUGACUGGUACCAUAAUACCACUUAUGAACAAGUCCUGGGCUUGUCCUCCAUACCUUUUGACUGGAUCGGGGAGCCUCAGGUGAAUACCAACUCCUAAUACUGCUUCCGCCAUGGCAUUCUGGUUUGUUAUGCUCUUCAUCUUCUGAUGUCUUUUCCUCUCUGUCUGCUAAUUUUUCAGUCACUUCUGAUUCAAGGAAAAGGAAGAUACAACUGCUCUCUAGUUUCAAGUCCUUAUGUCUGUAAUGCAACAAGUCCUCAGUGUUCUCCCUAUGUACUCACUGUAGUUCCGGGGAAAACAUAUCGCCUUCGGGUCUCCAGCUUGACUUCCCUGUCAGCUCUCAGUUUCCAAAUAGAGGUUGGUAUAAUUAAUAAAUUCACCGCGGUUUCUUAUUCCUUGCUUCUACUUGUUCAAGUGAUAUUCCUCACAAAAAUAUUGUAACAAUACAUUUUUAAGAGCCCAUCUUAAAUAUAUAAAUACUUUUUAAAGAUUUGGGUUCAAAACAAAACAAUAUCCACAUGCUUGGAGACUAAUUCUCAACUUUGGUGGAGGGGUUUGUUUGAUCUCAUAUGGAGUGUCUAUUUGUUUGAUCCUGUCAUCCAUGAGACAUAAUGAGAAAGGUUUUGAUCCAAAAUGAAGAAUAUCUGUACAGUUAAAAGUGGAUUAUUACAAAAACUAUCCAUGUUCUGAUACGGUUUUAAUUUCUAACGCUACAGGGUCACAACAUGACUGUUGUUGAAGCAGACGGGCACUUUGUGGAACCCUUUGUGAUAAAAAACCUCUUCAUUUACUCAGGGGAGACCUAUUCAGUUCUGGUGAAGGCUGAUCAAGACCCUUCAAGAAAUUACUGGGUCACAACCAGUGUGGUCAGUAGGAACAACACUGUCACUCCUCCGGGCUUGGCCAUCUUCAAUUACUACCCCAACCAUCCCAAGAAGUCUCCCCCAACAGUCCCACCCGCUGGCCCUCUUUGGGACGACGUAGAGCCGCGCAUCAACCAAAGUCGUGCCAUUAAGGCUCACCAUGACUAUGUUUUCCCCCCUCCUCUCACCUCAGACAGAGUAAUUCUGAUGCUUAACACACAGAAUGAGAUCAAUGGUUACAGGAAGUGGUCUGUGAACAAUGUGUCCUUCAACCUCCCACACACACCCUACCUAAUUGCUCUCAAGGAAAAUAUCAGUGGUGUCUUUGAUCCAACCCCUGCUCCAGAUUACUUUGACUUGGAAAAUUAUGAUAUUUAUACCAAGCCAAACAAUUCCAACGCCACGUCUAGCAACUCAAUUUAUAGGCUCAAGUUCAACACAAUAGUGGACAUCAUACUGCAAAAUGCAAACACCAUGGUCGUGAAAAACAGUGAGACACAUCCAUGGCAUCUCCAUGGGCAUGACUUUUGGGUACUGGGCUAUGGGGAAGGCACGUUUAACAUGUCCAGUGAUCCAAGAACCUACAAUCUGAUUAACCCAAUUAUGAAGAACACAGCACCUGUUCAUCCUUAUGGAUGGACUGCCUUAAGGUUUCGAUCUAAUAACCCAGGUGCCUGGGCAUUCCAUUGCCAUAUCGAAUCUCAUUUCUAUAUGGGUAUGGGAGUUGUUUUUGAAGAAGGGGUGGAGAGGGUUGGAAAGCUGCCUUCAUCUAUCAUGGGUUGCGGUAAAUCCAAGGGUCUCCGCGGUAGGCCAUAAUUUUGUUGAGAUAUUAGGAAUGUUUUCCUUAUAUCAUUAUUUCCUUAUAUCAUUUAGUGUUUAGAUAUUAGGAAAGUUAAGAUAUUAUGAAUAUUGAGAUAUUAGGAUAUUAGUUGUUAUUUCCUUAUAUUAUUCUUUCCUUGUAUCAUUCUUUCUCAUUCUUAGAAUGGUGAUUACCCUCUAUAUAUACUCUGUACGAAUGAAAGAAAGUAUGAAUGAAAAACUACCAUUCAUCAAUUUGAACAUGGUAUCAGAGCCAGGGAACUGAAAUCCUGGAUAUUUUGUCGUAAGGCCAACAAUUGCCCCUCCUUUGCGAGAGAAAAAAAAAAAAAAGUGAAAAAAGUACUAUUGCUUUUCAAUCUGAAGGUACUUUCAAUCCAUGAAUUAUUUUGACUGAAUCAAACUAUGACGUUUGGUCAUAACUCGUGGAGAUGCAUAUUGUCGAACGGGAAAAACUUUCCUACAUCCGAGGUAAGACAAAUCCACCAAAAGAGUAAGAAGAUGGAUAUGAAAAAUGGUAUGUUGAGAAUCAAAAGGUGAAGAGAUGGUUGUUAAUGUCCAUGAGUCCAGAAAUUAUGAAGCGUUACUUACGCUUACCCACCGCUCAAGAAAUUUGGAGUACAUUAUCAAAGGCCUUCUAUGAUGGAAGUGAUGAAUUACAAGUUUUCACUUUGAAUCAAAAAGCCUUCACUGCCAAACAAAACGGCAAGUCUCUUUCUGAAUAUUAUGGAGAGUUAACUGAACUUUUUUGCGAAUUGGAUCAUCGGGAUAAGGUAGUCAUGAAAGACCCUGAAGAUAUUGCAGCAUACCGAAAAUCCAUUGAACGACAACGGGUGCACAUCUUUCUUGCUGGAUUGGAUGGUGACUUUGAGCAAGUUCGAGGAGAGAUUCAACGCAAAGAUCCUCUUCCCGAUUUGGAAGAAUGCUAUGCACUGAUUCGACGAGAGGCAGUACGUCAUGCUAGUAUGAAAACAAAAUCUGACAACCCUGACACCUCAGCUAUGGUAGUUCGACAAUAAUUAACCCGAAAUUGGCAGGACCAAUCCAAGACCAACCAUCCUAAGACAGACCCUAAUAUUGAUAAGUCAACCUUCAAAUGCACUCACUGCAAUAAGACUGGUCAUACCAAGAGUCGUUGCUUUGAAAUUGUGGGAUAUCUAGACUGGUGGGAUCACAAUCAUGAUCAACGGAAGAAGGAUUCCAAGAAAACCUCGACUGCAGCUAUUGCCGAAAUAAAAACAGAGGCUAAUGUUGAUGAGAAAGUCUCUGCAUUGAUAGCCGCUACAGAUUAUGGUGGUAAGUUUUUAAAUACUUCUACACCUGUUAUUAAUAAUGCAUGGAUAAUUGAUUCUGGUGCUACAGAUCAUAUGACUUUUGAUUCUAGACAGGUUUCACUCGUUAGACCUUCCUCACAAAAAUUUGUUUCCACAGCCAAUGGUAACACAACCCUAGUCAUUGGGGAAGGAUCCUUAACUCUUAUUGAUACUUUGAAUUUGGAUUCUAUUUUAGUUGCUCCAUCCUUAAAUUACAAUCUUUUGUCAGUUUCUCAAAUCACUGCAGCCUUAUCUUGUAUUGUCAUUUUUUGGCCUGAAUUUUGUGUUUUUAAGGACAUCCAAACAAGACAGACGAUUGGUUUUGGUAUUAAGCGGGGAAAACUCUAUUAUUUGGACUUGCAGUCAAAGGAUUCAAAUAAGUUGCGACAAGCCUUGAUGGCAGAUGGAUCUGAGGGGGAGAAGAAAAAGUCUGAAAUUUGGUUGUGGCAUCGACGUCUGGGACAUGCUUCCUUUGGUUAUUUAAAAAAAUUAUUUCCUAAUUUGUUUGCAAAGAGUGAUAUUUCUGGUUUCCGUUGUGAUAUUUGUGAAUUGGCUAAAAGCCAUCGUGCUUCCUUUCCAUUAAUUUUGAAUAAAAGUCCGUCUCCUUUUAUGGUUAUACAUUCUGAUGUUUGGGGCCCAUCCAAAGUCCCAACUUUGAGUGGUUCGCGUUGGUUUGUUACUUUUAUUGAUGAUUGUACCAGAAUGACAUGGUUAUGCUUGAUGAAGACCAAAGAUGAAGUGAACUUGUUGUUUCAAAAAUUUCAUAAAAUGAUUGAAACUUAGUACAAUGCAAAGGUUCGGGUUCUGCGUAGUGAUAAUGGUGGAGAAUAUCAAAGUUCUGAUUUUCAAAAGUAUUUGGAAGGACAUGGCAUCAUUCAUCAAACUACUUGUUCCAAUACACCCCAGCAAAAUGGAGUCGAUGAACGAAAAAAUCGGCACUUGUUAGAGGUUGUUCGUGCUUCCUUGAUAGCAGCAAAAACACCGAUAUCUUAUUGGGGAGAAGCAAUCACAUCUGCCGUAUACUUGAUCAAUCGGGUACCUUCUAGCUCAAUUAACUUUCAAACACCUCUCCAAGCUCUUAUUAAUGUCGUAGUUGCCCCAACCGUCCCAAAUCUACCUCCUCGUGUUUUUGGUUGUGUGGCAUUUGUGCAUCUACACAAGCACCAACGCACUAAGUUAACUUCCCAUGCAUUGCAAUGUGUGUUUGUUGGAUAUGCAUUGCACAAAAAGGGAUAUCGAUGUUACCAUCUUCCAACUUGACAAAUGUAUAUUACAAUGGAUGUGGUGUUUCAUGAAGAUUCGAUGUAUUUUUCAUCUGAGUCUGAACUUCAGGGGGAGUACCAUAAGGAAAUUCAAACUCUUGAUUAUGAUUAUCAUAUCUCUAAGGAAGAUGAAUCUGAACAAUCUGAACUAGUGAACCAGGAAGUGGGUGAGUUGGAUAUGAGUGGUCAACAAUUUGGAUCCGAAGAUGUCUUCACUGAAAUACCAAACCAAUCAUCGUCUGUUGAGGGUGUUCUUAAUUUGGAACCCGAUCCAUUCAUGAAACGGUUACCACAUCAUCAUAAUAGAGGUAUUCCUAAACCCACAUAUGAACCUGAUUUGUCUACCAAAGUCAAAUAUCCCAUGAGCAACUAUGUGUCUAACCAUCGUUUGUCUGAAUCAAAUAAGUCAUUUGUAAAUCAAUUAUCUACUGUAGUUAUUCCUAAUAGUGUGCAGGAAGCCUUAGUUGAUCCAAGGUGGAAAGCAAGAUUGGUUAGCCGAUAUCCUCACCAAAGCUGUCUCAAGUCAAGUAUUCUCAAAAAUUUUUAGACAAGUUGGGCAUGUGUGACAUCUAUGCACCAACUUGAGGGGGAGUGUUGAGAUAUUAGGAAUGUUUUCCUUAUAUCAUUAUUUCCUUAUAUCAUUUAGUGUUUAGAUAUUAGGAAAGUUAAGAUAUUAUGAAUAUUGAGAUAUUAGGAAAGUUGAGAUAUUAGGAUAUUAGUUGUUAUUUCCUUAUAUUAUUCUUUCCUUGUAUCAUCCUUUCCCAUUCUUAGAAUGAUGAUUACCCUCUAUAUAUACUCUGUACAUGAACGAAAGAAAGUAUGAAUGAAAAACUACCAUUCAUCAAUUUGAACAAAUUUUUCUUCCCAAUUAUCAAGUAAUUGAGGUAAAGUUUAAUUGUAUCACAUUUUCUAUAUUAUGUUUUAGAUGAUACAAAUUCUUUUCAUUCUUGAAUAAUAAAAAUAGUUAGAGACUGUUCACAUGGAUCUUGUAGUGUAAUAUUAAAGAUUCUUUUGAUCAAAAGCUCAGAGUUUGGGGCUGUUGGGGCCAUUGGUACUCUGAAUUUCAUCGUUACCAAAUCCUACUCCUUUAAUAAUGACUGGUUCAGAGGUCAGCGUCCCCUCAAUAUCAAAUUAUCAAUAAAUUUGAUGAGGUGAUGUGGUGAGAUGCGCCCUAGUCAACUCUCCAAUUGCUAUUGUUGGAGUUAGUGUUGCCACUUGUGUAAUUUGCUUGAGACUGUUUAUGUAAUUUGUUUUCCAAGAUGUAUUCGCCAGUUUGGCCUAUUUUGGCUUCAACAAGGGUGAUCUGAAACCAUGUAAAAGAAUUCAAUACUGAAUGAUAUAAACAUUGUGUGUUUUUGUUAAUGUUCAAUAGUUCAAUAUAUAUUGACUAUAGUGUAGUUAAUUAGCAAAUCAAUACCUAUAAUUGUGACAGAAAUGAUAGAGUGAAAGUUCUACAAAAAAAAAACAAAAAACAAAAAAAACUAAUUAUAACAUAUCUAGAAUAUUUAGAAUAAGUGUUCCUACAAUUAUGGUCUAUCGGUGAGAUAUUGGCUCAUUUUAAUACUAAGCUAAUAAUUUUAGUCAUACUUCUUUUUUCUUUGUACAAUACCAAAUUUUAAUCACAUGUAAUCUCAAGCUUCUUGUCAUGCAUAUUUCCUAAGACCAACAUAAACCUUUAGGACUCUUCAUAGGGACCUAAAUCUCGGGAUACUGACCACCCCUAUAACAACCACUACAAGAAAAAAGCCUUUCGUUGACAGUUUUUCACCAUCAAGGUAGGGUAUAUAUGUCAAGGUAUGUUACUAUUUAUAUAUGUCAUCUAUGCCAGUGUCAAGAAAAGUUUAAAGCUAUCUUGACAUUUACAUAUGUCACCUUGACAUUUACAUAUGUCAAGGUUGUUUCUAUUUCUACCAAUGAUCGAAUCUUUGUUAGUAUGACAUAUGUCAAUGUUUCUUUCAUUUUUGUCAAGGUUGGAUUCAACAUAUGUCAAGAUUUUUUGAUCUUAUGUCAAUGUUAACUUGCUUUUCUAUUAAGGUUGCUACAACAAAUGUUAAGAAUAAUAUGUCAAGGUUUCUAGCUAUUGCAAUGUCAAUGUUGGGCAUUGGCCAACUGUCAAGGUUGCCUAUGACAAAUUUAAUAUUAUUUUACUAUAAUUUUUAGUUUUAAUAGAAAAUAAACUUGUUACCAUAUGAAACUUAUUUCCAAAUUAAAUUUGAUACAUAUUUAAUUAUGAUAAUAAUAACUAAGUCCUAAAACAAUGUAAAUAAAUUAUUACUCAAGGGAAAAAAUUAUUAUAGAUACAUUUGAAUACUAACAACACAAUAGAAUAAAUCUUUUUCUACUUACUCUCUAUUUUCUAUAUACAAAAAAAAAAAAAAUUACAAAUAUUCAAUUAAGAUAAUAUACAAACUUAAAUUGAAAAGUACAAUCCUAUCUUCGUAAGAGGUGGUCACUAAUUCUUCAUCAUCUUCUUCUUUUUUGCUAUAUUUCUUGAAUACCUAGUAGGAUAGACACACAUUAAUAGAAAAAUAAGAAACAAGUAUCAAAAUACCAAUUUUCAAAUUAUAAGGUACUUUCAAUUGCAAGAAUACAUCAAACAUAUAUACAAUUUGUAGAUACCAUAUCUCUAGCAUUAAUCUUCAAGCACCGCCCUCUAGAAAGACCCUAAAAUUGCCAAUACCUCUAUCUCAAACUUAUGAUAGAAAAAAUAAACGAUGUUAAGAAAAUGAAAAGCUCAAAUUAAGAAAUUAGAUAUCUAACUACAAUAAAAUAUUUUUAAGAUUGCUCAAUAACCUAUCUAUAAUAUAUGUUGCGUUAGAAACAAAACAAAAAUGCAAACAUUAACCUUCAACAAUCAUAUCGAAAACCUUUUCUUCAAAUGUGAAUACCACAUCGAAUGGCCCAUCAGCAACAUUAUCUUGCUAGCGCUGAGGUGUGGUUUUGAUUGAUGAAUUCCUUUUAAGCAUUGGCAGGAUGCCAUUAUGCUUGUAGAUGUGUUGUCAUUAAGGUUUCAUUUUGCUUUAAGGUUCCAAGCAAAUCAAAUAAUCAUUAGCAAGAAUUUAAAAAUAAUAAUAAAAAAAAAUAAAAAAUAGUAUUGAUUUCUAUACAAGAAUUAAGAGCUUCCUUUAGUUUCUGGUUUGUCCUAGUCUCCAAUAUGAACAUUAACAAUAAACCCCAAUACAACCAUAUUUUGUCAACCAAAGGGGUUUAAGGUUCUAUUCAGGAACUUUACACAAAUUUCAAUAUAAAACAAAUACUCAAAUGCUUUGUUCGAUCAACAAGAAAACAUGCUAAAUUUUGAGUUUUAGAUUCAUAGCCUAACAAAAUGAUUUGUUUUAAAUUUCACAUCACUUUCAAUUAAGCUUAACACAAUUAUCUAGUCUAAUUGCAAGUUUUCAAUUUCCCCCUUUGGUGGAGACCAAAAAAGAAAACAAAAAGAAACCAUUCAAAACAAAUUUUCCCCCAUCUUCUCGACUAUCAAACAGAGGACAAGCUAAAUUUACAUCGUCCACAACCUUUAGCAUGGUCCACAUUAGGUAGUCUUUCACAAAAAUGAAAAAAUUAACCAAACAAAAAUACAAACAGAGCAAUGCAUCAAACAUCUAUAAAAUUCCUCAUUUGGAUAGUGAGAAAAUGUAAGCAAAUAUUUUUUUUAAAAAAUAUCAUAGUCAUGAUCCAAAUAUCUUUCAACCGCCUUUAAAGAACCACCACACAACCCAUUUGGUUAAAAAAAAAAAAAAAAAAAAUUCUUUUUCUUUUCCUCGCUAAUGUUUUUUUCUUGGGAAACAAACAGGAAAACCUAGAAAUGGAAGAAAGAUGAUACAGGUCGGGGUCUUUGCGGCAGAGAUCAUCGAACAUGUACCAACAAUUGAGAUGAAACCAACAAACUAUAGCAUCAAAUUGGAACCAAAUGCCUCAAUACCUACAACAAAUGAAAUCGAAUGAGUUUAGUAGUCAACGUAAGCAUGAUCAAGUAGUAAAAUGUUACAUCUAACAUCAAUGCAGCCCCCACAAAAUUCAUGUUACGACACUCUUAAUAUUGAUUCCAAUGCUCUCCAAGAUGUAAUUUAAUAGUCAUAUCAGCAGAUUUAGAUCAACUAUUGGUGCUCAUGUUUGGUUCCUUGAAAAUGCGGGAAAAGAUAAGAAUAAGUUUUGAAUCCAAGAUUUCUCAUCAUUUGGGACUUGAGAAAGCAAUUAUUUCCACUCAACUACGCCUGAUUGACUAUUUGAUUCUGCUGAGGUGGGUUUUUUUUUUUCCAUUUUUUUCAAAAUUGAGACAGUGUAAAACUUGUGAUUCAAAAUUUUCUUUUCCUCUGUUUUCUCCACUAUCCAUGAAAAAGUAACAACAGAAAAUUCUGUAUUCCUUGUUGUAAUACCUUUAACAAAUUCUAAAACAGAGAAAUAACAAUCAAAAAUCUAAACUUUCAUGUGAUUAUAUUAAAAAAUGUUAAACAAAAACAAAAUCGAAAAGCCCAAUAGCUUCAGUAGCAAAUAAAGUAUAACACCAGAAGGAAUGAACAACAUAUUUGCAAAAAGAAGAUAGAUUAGAAGAGACAAACCGUGAAACUUAAAACCCAUUUAGAUUAAAGCAAAACACAAACUGAUAAUUCGAUCCAAAAAAUGAAAAAAAACGUAGAGACACCAUAGAGAGAUUAAACCAAAAACCCAACCCAAUUCGUCACUGCAACAAAGUCAAAGCACAAGAAACCAAAACCCCAAUUGGGAUUGAACUGAUCAGACACCCAAAUGAUCACAGACAUCAAAAACCCAGAAAAUCUACCUGAAAAAAAGGGGUUAAAAUUGAAGCAUGUGUCCUCAAAAAAAGACGAGAGAGAGAAAGAAAGAAAGAAAUAACAACAAGAACAUGAGCCUUUCCUUACCUAUAAUUCUCAAAGAUGGAAAAAGAAAGUCCACAGAGCUUAACGUACGCCCCCGUCCCGUAGGAUGACAUGUCAAAUCCUUACUUCUUGAGGAGGGAGUAAGCCUUCAUGCUUCGGUUCUGGUUUGAAGAACACACCAUGGCAGACCGGAACACACCAUGGUGAAGAUGGGAAGGUGAGAGAAAGAGAGAAACAACGAUCGAUCGGUAGCGUCACCGCCGGUGACAACUGAUAGUCGCGAUAUUGUUGAGAUGGGUGAGGCGCAUGGGUAUGGAGAGAGAACUGGGAAAGAAAAAGGAGGAAAGAAAGAAGAAAAAAAAAUGGAGAGUGGCGGUGGCAGAGAAGUGGGAGAGAAAAAUAUGAUCUCUUAGGGUUUCUUUGAAAUGAAUGGUAGAUAUGUGAUUAGAAAAUAAAUGGUCCAGAUUUCACCAACAUUAGUCUUAUCACACCAAAAUUUAAAUUCUUUUUCUAUGAGUCAACUUUAUGAGAAUCAAUAUAUGGAAUAUAUUUAUAACUUUUAUAAUGUCAAUUUACCAUAAUUAAUUUUCUUCUUUCCUAAUGUCUAAAUUUGUAUGAGUUAACUUAAAAAAUAAAAUUUUGAAACUUGAUAUUAUGCCGAACAAUUGAUAAAUCAAAAUUUCAAAUAUCUUAAUUUUCAAGCUUACACAAAUUUAGUAAUUAUUUUUAAAUCAAAUACAAGUUAAUUACUAAUUUAAAAAUAAUUAAAAAUAGUUUGUGAAAACAAGAUUAUAUUAAUACAGACUAAAAAAAAAUCAUUAACAUCAAUGAAUAAAAAAAUAGUUUAUUAGUAUUGAUUUUAUUUAUAUCCAGUUAUAAAAAAAACCAUAAUGUAGCAAAUUUUAUUUCACUAAAAUUAGUGAAUAAAAAAUUAUUUAUAAAAAUUUAUUUCAGUGCUAUUGAUAUAAACUAAAAAAUUAUUUAAUCAAUUUGAUUAAAAAAAAAUGAAAAUUGAUAUUAACAUUACUAAAAAAAUUUAUUAAAUAAACAUUGACUUCCUUAAUCAAAAUUUAUUGUUGUCACUUCAAUUUAUAAUACUUAGUAAGUAAAUUAGAUAUACACAUAUCAAACAAAUUAUUAUCAUUAUUGCUUUUAUUUAAGUACCUUGAAUACAUUGACUUAUAAAUUAUCUGUCAAGAUUCUAUUAUAUAAGUCAUAAAAGAAUUCAACAAAUUUUAUUUAUGUCAUUAUUGGUUUAAACAAGUUAUAUAUGUCAUAGUUGUUCAUUUAAAUAGGCAAUAUUGACACAUAUCACCUUAAGUCAAGAUAAUAUAUGUCAACAAUGACCAUUUUUCUUGUAGUGAACUAGCACCGGAUAAAUUUAAGGUACCAUUAAUGACAUAAUUCGAACCCAAUACCAUAUGCAAUUUAGUGGAACCACACUUCCUAGUUUAUGUUCUGACCAACUAGGCUACCUUGACGAGUAGAAAACAAGUACACAUAACCUCAAGCUUGCUUCUUAAGUCAACGCCAAACAUAGAGCUAUCAUAAACUUGAGCAUAUUUCUUAAAAAAGACAUCGAGUCUCACUUCAUAAACUAUCAUUCUAUUAGAAAGUGAAAUUAUUGUCCAUGUAACAAAUACCUUCUCUAUCUUGGAGACUUGAACAAUGAUUUAGUUAUUAUACAUAAAACUUCAAUGAUUUCAUCUGAAAAUCAAUUAACUAUAUUAAAAUCAAGCUAAUUCUCUUUUAUGUUGCUAUAGGUGGAAUGUAUCUGUGGCCGCAACUAGAUGCCCUGAUUUGCAAAUGGUUGCGUCUUUGCGCUACUAUAGGUAUGUGAAAUGCACAGCUACUUCAUUCUGCUGAUUUGAGAAGAUCCAAAACAAAAUUUAGAUGGUAUUAGAGUUAAUUCUCAACUCCAAUGUAGGAAUUUGUUUGGUUUCAUAAAGAAUGUUUAUUUGUUUUAUUAUGCGAUCCCACAAGACAUAGUGAGAAUGUUAUAUUUACAUGGGAUAUGAAGAAAAAAAUCCCUGCUGUUAUAUACCUAUGAACCCCUAUUAAUUAUGUAAAUGUGUUUUAAGACGUGAAGAGAUUUUGAGUCCAAAAUGAAGAAUAUCUGCACAAUUAAAAGUGGAUUAUGACAAAAACUAUCCAUGUUCUGAUACGGUUUUAAUUUCUAACGUUGCAGGGUCACAACAUGACUGUAGUUGAAGUAGAUGGGCACUUUGUGGAACCCUUUGUGAUAAAAAACCUCUUCAUUUACUCAGGGGAGACCUAUUCAAUUCUGGUGAAGGCUGAUCAAGACCCUUCAAGAAAUUACUGGGUCACAACCAGUGUGGUCAGUAGGAACAACAUUGUCACUCCUCCGGGCUUGGCCAUCUUCAAUUACUACCCCAACCAUCCCAACAAGUCUCCCCCAACAGUCCCACCCGCUGGUCCUCUUUGGAACGACGUCGUGCUGCGCCUCAACCAGAGUCGUGCCAUUAAGGCUCACCAUGACUAUGUUGCCCCCCCUCCUCUCACCUCAGACAGAGUAAAUCUGAUGCUCAACACACAGAAUGAGAUCAAUGGUUACAUGAGGUGGUCUGUGAAUAAUGUGUCCUUCAACCUCCCUCACACACCCUACCUAAUUGCUCUCAAGGAGAAUAUUAGUGGUGUCUUUGAUCCAACCCCUGCUCUAGAUUACUUUGAUUUGGAAAAUUAUGGUAUUUAUACCACGCCAAACAAUUCCAAUGCCACGUCCAGCAACUCAAUUUAUAGGUUGAAGUUCAACACAACGGUGGACAUCAUAUUGCAAAAUUCAAACACCAUGAACAAGAAUAACAGUGGGACGCAUCCAUGGCAUCUCCAUGAGCAUGACUUUUGGGUACUGGGUAUUAUGAAAAAGAAAUAGAGUAUAAGAAAAAAGAGAAACAGAGUAGAGAAUGAAAGAGAAGAAGCAACAGAAUGCUCUGUAUCGUUCGCAUUCAUCAUCUGAAAUAUGUGUAGGAAAGCUCUAGAUAUAGGAGGCUGGAAACAAAGAAUGUUAUAACUAAUCUGAAACUAAUCUGUAGCUAACCUGUAACUAAUUCCAGCUCAUCCUCUUAUAAUUGUUUAACAAACUAACAGAAUCUUAUUUCUCAUAGUUAAGAGAACUUUAAUACUCCCCCUCAAGAUGGAGAAUGAAUAUUAUGAGUUCCCAUCUUGUCAAGUAAAAGUGUGAACUGUGUUGGAUGGAGGGCCUUUGUUAAUAGGUCUGCUACUUGAUGUUGAGAAGAAACAUGAAGUGUUUUCAAUCUGCCAUCUUGGACCUUCUCCCUUACUAAGUGACAAUCAAUUUCAAUAUGUUUUGUUCUUUCAUGGAAAAUAGGAUUUGCUGCUAUGUGCAAGGCAGCUUGAUUAUCACAAAACAACAAUGCUGGUUGUGGAUGAUUUAUGUGCAAAUAUUUGAAUAAGGAAAACAUCCACAUUAAUUCACAUGUAGCAUUUGCCAUGGAACGGUAUUCGGCUUCAGCAGAUGAUCUAGACACAGUGUGUUGUUUCUUUGACUUCUAAGAGAUUAAGGAAUCACCAAUGAAAACACAAAAUCCACUAAUUGAUCUCCUGGUAUCUGGACAAGCAGCCCAAUCAGAAUCUGCAAAGGUUUUCAAUUCUAUGGUAGAUGAAGAGGAAUAAAAGAGACCUUGACCAACUGUAGCUUUAACAUACUGUAAAACAUGAUAUGCUGCUUGUAGAUGAGGAAUCCGAGGCUUGGCAAGAAACUGACUCAACCGAUUAACAGAAAAUGAUAAAUCUGGUCUUGUUAUUGUAAGGUAAAGUAAUUUACCAAUCAUUCUUCUAUAUAUAGAAGGAUCAUCAAGUAAAUCUCCUUCAUCUUGUGAGAAUUUAACAUUUGGAUCCAUAGGAGUCUUUCUAGUUUUGCAGCCAAGAUAUCCUGUGUCAGACAAGAGUUGCAAAGCAUAGUGUCUUUGACUAACAGAAAUUCCUUUAGAGGAUCUACCAACUUCAAGACCAAGGAAAUAUUUCAGAUUUCCUAGAUCUUUAAGUUUAAAAUAGCCAUUAAGAAACUUCUUCAACUCAUCCACAUUUUCUUGAUCAUUACUUGCUAUGACGAUGUCAUCAACAUAAACUAGUAAUGCAAUGAAAGAAUUGCCAUUGAUCUUAACAAAUAGGGAAUUGUCAGAAGCUGAUUGUUUAAAACCUGUGCUGACAAGAACACUAGAGAACUUAGAGAACCAUUGGCGAGAUUCUUGUUUUAGCCCAUAAAGGGACUUGUGAAGUUUGCAAACAGUGUUGAUAGGUAAGGACUCCCUCUCAUGGUAAAGACCAGGUGGUAAAGACAUGUAGACUUCCUCAUGAAGAUCACCAUGCAAGAAUGCAUUAUUGACGUCAAGCUGAGUGAGACUCCAGCCAUGAACAGCAGCUAGAGCAAGAAGAACCUUAACAGUUACCAAUUUUGCAACGGGAGAAAAAGUGUCAAGGUAAUCAACACCUUCUUGUUGAGUGUAGCCUUUGGCUACCAAACGGGCUUUAUAUCGUUCAAUGGUUCCAUCAGCUCGAUACUUGAUUCGGUAAACCCACUUGCAUCCAACAGUGUGUUUACCAGGAGGUAGUGUGGUCAAUGACCAAGUGCUAUUUUCUUUAAGAGCUCUCAAUUCUUCAGACAUUGCUGCUUGCCACUCUGGAAUAACUGCAGCCUCAGCAUAAGUAGUAGGCUCAAAAUUUGAAGAAAUGGCAUUAACAAGAGUUGUGUGAGGGGUGGAUAAUUUAUGGUAAUCAAGUACUUGAGAUAAAGGGUGGCAAGUGAUUGCGAAGCAAAAGAAGUUGAGGAACAAUGAUAAUCUUGAAGGUAAGAAGGUGCUCUCCUAAACCGGGUGGGACGAUCAAGAGAUAAUGAAGUUGGACUAAAAAAAGGAUUUGUUGAAUCAUUGGAAGAAAUGGAAAUAGGAAGUGGAAGAACAAGAUCAGAGAAAAAAUCAAAAUGACAGGGUUGUGAGUCAUCAUUUUGGAAAGGAAAUAUCGACUCAUGAAAAAUGACAUCACGGGAGAUGAAAGUGGCAUUGGUGGACAAGUUAAGUAGUUUAUAGGCCUUAUAACCAGGGGGAUAACCAAGGAAUACAACUUUAAUAGCACGAGGUGAAAAUUUUGUACGAGAAUGGUUCAAAGUGGAAGCAUAGCACAAACAAUCAAAGGCCUUAAGAUGAGAAUAUGAAGGUUUCUUUUUAAACAACAACUCAAAUGGGGUUUUGUUGAUCAAUAAUGGUGAAGGAGUGAGAUUAAUAAGAUAAACAGCUGUGAGAAUGCAAUUGCUCCAAUAAGGCAAAGGUAAGUUUGAUUGAAAGUGCAAAACCAGAGCAACAUUCAAAAUGUGUUGAUGUUUCCGUUCCACAACAGAGUUUUGUUGUGGAGUUUCAUUACAAGAAUGAAAUGACAAAAUUCCUUGGGCACGAAAGAAAUCAGAAAAGACCAAUUCAGGUGCAUUAUCUGAGCGGACAGACUUUAUUUUCACAUUAAAUUAAGUCUAAAUAAGAGUAAAAAAAUUUGGAAAAACAACAAAAACUUCAGAUUUUGCACGUAGAAAAUAUUCCCAAGUAAAUCGUGUACAAUCAUCAACAAUGGUUAAAAAAUAACGAUAUCCCUCAGUGGUGAUUGUAUGAAAAGGACCCCAAACAUCAAUGUGAAUCAAUUGAAAAGGAGAAUUUGAUAAAUUGUUUGAAGACAUAAAUGGCAAACGACGUUGCUUUGCCAAAUGACAUAUUGAACAAUGAGAUGGAGUCUCAGAAAUAUGAGAAAUAUUCAAAUCAUCCUUUAGAGUAUGAAUUUUUGCAUAUGAUGGGUGUCCCAAACGAUAAUGCCAAAGUUCAGUUGAGGAAGAAGAAAAAUUAUUACAAGUUGCUGAAAUGUCAAAUGAUUGAGACACUAAACUGGAAAAAUCCAAGACAUAGAGGUUCCCGUGUCUUUUACCCAUCCCAAUCAUUUUGGCCUGUGAAUGGUCCUGAAUAAGACAAGAAUGAGAGAGAAAAUUAACAGAAUAUUUAUGGCUUUGUGUAAGAGCACUGACGGACAAAAGAUUAAAUUGAAAUUGAGGCACAAAAAGAACAUCAGUCAAGGUGAUAUGAGGUGACAAUUGCACAGAUCCUAUUCUACUAAUUGACACCAAGUGACCAUUAGGAAGAGUAACGGAGGAAUUUGAUGCUGGGACUGAUGAAACAAAGGAAGGUAAAGAGCAACAGACAUGAUGAGUAUCACCUGUGUCCAACACCCAAGCCGAGGAAUCAAGGGAAUUGGGAAAAGAAACUGAAGAAAGGGAGAAUAUACCACUGAAACUGGAGACUGAUGGUCCAGGCUGCUGCAAUUCAGGAGUAGCAGGAGUAUUGUCAUGGAGCUGAGAGCUCAAAAGAGCAAUGAGUUGUUGACAUUGAGCUGGAGAUAGUGAAGCAAGUGGUGAAUCAGCUGUAGCAGAGGCUUCAGUGGUUCUAGAACUAGUUUGAUUUGCUUGAGCUUUAGCAUGAGGAUUCUUGGAUUUGAAUUUAUAUCCAGGUGGAUAUCCAUAGAGUUUAUAACACUUAUCAACUGUGUGACCUAAAAUUCCACAAUGAGAGCAAGUGGGUCGAUCCUUCUUAGGCUUGGAAUUCAAUCUGGCAGCUGAAAUUGCAACAGUGGAAUUGGAAUCAUUUGCAGCUACUGAAUCAGGCGGAGUAUAGAGCCCAUAAUUAAUGGAGCGUUGUUGUUCAUCUUGUGCAACUAGUGAGAAAACUUUAGCAAUUGGAGGAAGAGGUUCCAUCAUUAAGAUCUGAGAACGUGUUUGCACAAAAGAUUCAUUGAGGCCCAUAAGAAAUUGCAUCACAUAUUCCUGCUGCUGAAAUUCCAUCCAAGUCUUCAUAGUACCACAAGCACAUUCUGGAAGGGGCUGGAAACCCUUAAGCUCAUCCCAAAGAAUUUUCAGUCGGGUAUAGUAAGUACUUACAUCCAAGGAUCCUUGACUUAAAGCUAUAAGAUGUUUUUUGAUUUGAAAAAUUCUUGGACCAUUACUUUGACGAAAUCUAUCCCGAAGAUCAUUCCAAAUUCCCAUAGCGGUAUCAAAAUACAAAAGGCUAUCGACUAUGUCCUUAUGAACAGAAUUGAGAAUCCAAGAAAUUACCAUGCUGUUGCAGCGAAUCCACGUACCAAAAAGAAGAUCAUCAGAUUCAGGGCAAGGAAUACUCCCAUUAAUAAAACUGAUUUUAUUCUUGGCAGUGAGUGCCAUAACCAUGGCUCUGCUCCAAGUAUUAUAGUUAGCACCAGUGAGAUGAUGGGAAACGAGAACAAUACCAGGAUGAUCUGAAUUGUGGAGGAAAUAAGGAUUGGUUGAAUCUUCCAUAGAUGAUAAUGAGUUAGGAACACCGGUGGUAACCCGAUUGAUUGUGCUUCCUCGAGUCAUUAGAGAUGAAAGAAGACAAAACAGAGUAUGGCGAGCAAGAGCAAUUGCUCUGAUACCAUAUUAUGAAAAAGAAACAAAGUAUAAGAAAAAAGAGAAACAGAGUAGAGAAGGAAAGAGAAGAAGCAACAGAAUGCUCUGUAUCGUUCUCAUUCAUCAUCUGAAAUAUGUGUAGGAAAACUCUAGAUAUAGGAGGCUGGAAACAAAGAAUGCUAUAACUAAUCUGAAACUAAUCUGUAGCUAACCUGUAACUAAUUCCAGCUCAUCCUCUUACAAUUGUUUAACAAACUAACAGAAUCUUAUUUCUCACAGUUAAGAGAACUUUAAUACUGGGCUAUGGGGAAGGCACGUUUAAUAUGUCCAGUGAUCCAAGAACCUACAAUCUGAUUAACCCAAUUAUGAAGAACACAACACCUAUUCAUCCUUAUGGAUGGACUGCCUUAAGGUUUCGAUCUGAUAACCCAGGUGCCUGGGCAUUCCAUUGCCAUAUCAGUCUCAUUUCUAUAUGGGUAUGGGAGUUGUUUUUGAAGAAGGGGUGGAGAGGGUGGGAAAGCUGCCUUCAUCUAUCAUGGGUUGCGGUAAAGCCAAGGGUCUCGGCGGUAGGCCAUAAUUUUUCUUCCCUAUUAUCGACUAAUUGAGGUAAAGUUUAAUUGUAUCACCUUUUCUAUAUUAUGUCGACGAUAAUACGAAUUCUUUGUAUUCUUGAAUGAUAAAAAUAGUUAGAAAGUGUUCACAUGGAUCUUGUAGUCCUGAAACACUUGUAAUAUUGAAGAUUCUUCUUACCAAAAGGUCAAGAGUUUGGGGCUGCUGGGGCCACCGGUACUCUGAAUUUCAUCGUUGCCAAAUCCUACCGCUUCAACGAUGACUAGUUCAAAACUCAACGUCCCCUCAAUAUCAAAUUAUCAUUGUCAAUUUGAUGAGGUGAUGUGGAGAGAUGCGUUAUCAACCUAAUAUUUAGAAAAAGAGGGGUUUUAGCUACUCGCGAAUAGGUUAAAUUUUUUCCUACUUUUAAAAAAAAGUUGUGUUCUUAUGUCAUAUUCCUUUCCUUGUAAAUAUUGUUCUCCUUGUUCCAAUAGAUCCAAUAAAUAUUGAUCUCCCUUAAUUAGGUCUAUAGUUAAUUAUGAUCCGACUCAUGUUAAGAAAUAAUUCAAGCAUAAUUCGACUUUUAAAACGAGGUACUCAAUUCAAAUUCAAUCUUUUUUUUAAAAAAAUAAGGAUAACUAGAUUUGACUCAAAUUAAUCAAGUUGUAUUUAUUUUUUUAUAUAUAUUUAUAUCAAAAAUUAAAUAGUAAAUAUGAAAAAAAUAAGAUAAUAGCGAAAAAGUAAAAUUAAAAAAAUUUAGAAAGUAUAUGAUAUAACUAUUUUUGACAAUUUUCAUUAAAAUUUUUUGAAAAAUAAAAUUAAUAUUAUUAUAUAAGAUAAUACAAGUUAUAACUAUUAUCAUAAUAUUACAUCAAAUUGUUAUGUUCAGAUUUCUUGAAUUAUGACUCGAUCAAAUCUAAUUCAAAUUAUGUCGAGGUUUGUAAAUACUUACUCAAAUCUAAUCAAAGGUUGUGAUAGGUUGAGCUAAUCCACCCUAAUUGCACCUUUACUAAAAUCAAUUAAAUUACAAAAUAAUUAUUAAAAAAAUAUUUCUUUAUUAUGGUUACAACUUCUUUGAUAUAUAUAUAUAUAUAUCAUACAGAAAGAAACACACCAUUGUACAAAUAUAAAAAAUAUUAUACAUCUUUUCUUUGUAAAAGCUUAGGACAUCUAUAGGGCCUUUUUCUUAAUGGUUCUAAGCAAUUGCAAGAUCAAAAUUGUGUAGAAAAAUACAUUAAUCUUUCAGUGUUAUUCCACAUGAAGCUGUGGCAAUUGCGCCUUGUCAUAAGCUGAAUCAUCUUCACUAGAUGGUAGUGCUGGCAAUUUGACGUGACUUUCAUUUGCUGAUGUGGUAUUAUUGUUGGGAUAAUCGAACCGGUGCCAUCUCAUGCUGCCAUGACAAGUGGAUAUUAUGUGGAUUUCAAACAAUUUUAAGUAAAAAAAAAAAAAAAAACAGUUUAUUAUCAUAGAAGGAGGGUAUGAAGCUUGAGGCAUGAGGGCCGAGAGGAGUUCAGUUGACUUGUAUGAAUGAUGCCAUGGUGGAAGGCCCUCACCGCCCGAGUUGUUGAUGUGACAUCCUCCAAUGUUGAUUGGGUCCACAUUGAUACUUGUUCCAUGGCCCAGAUUUGUAAAAUAUUUACAUAAUCACAUAGAUUAAUCAUACAUGAUUAAAGGAUACUAACAAUAGGAAAUCACUAUAAAGAACAUACAUGUUUGAGCCAUAAUAAAAAACCGUGAUUGAUUGUUGCAACUAAAUCUUCCUCUCUAUAAUCUUGAUAACAGCUAUGGUGGUUUUAUAGGAAAACAGAAAAACAGAAAAACUUUUUUUUAUCUAAAUUAGAGAGGGGACUUAGCAUAACUCAAAUUGGAUUCUCAUUGGGCCCUCCCAUAAUGGGCUUCAAUGAGAUCCAAAGCUUGUACUUGUCACUUAACUGAGCUUCUACUCAAAAUAUGUAAAACUCAAUCCAAAAUGUGAUCACUAGUUAAUUGGGUUCAUUAUGUAAUAGACUAUCCAUUAACCCGUUUUUGCAAAUACGAAUUAUUCAAUUAAUGUUAGCUCAUAUAAAAAAUUUUCCAACAUGAUUAUCAUAGACAUUCGUCGAUGGGUGGUUUGUGGAAAAAAAAAAACAAAAAGCAAUUUUAGGCGGCUUUUUAAAUUUGGAGUAAGGAAAAUCCAACAAAAAAUAUUAAUAAAAAAAUAAAGAAGAAAAAAAAAUGAAAAAAAAUAAAUAAAUUAAAUAAUUCAAUUACCAGCUUCUUCAAUCUAUCUUCCUGUUUUUCAUUUUUUUUUAGGUAGAACGAAAAAACCUUGAUCAUUCCUGUUAUCGGCUUCUAUCGGCUUCCAUGGCUUUUCGACGUUCAUGCCAAGAAAUAAAUCUUUGCAGUGGUGUAAUUCCCACAUAGGACGCCAAUGUAGAUACCAGUAACCUUAUUUUCCCAUUUGCAUGGCCGGGUAUUUCCACGUGAUUGGUGUUUUUAGUGGAUUUCAACUUUUACAGAUUGCUUUUUUGACUUCUUGGUACAAGCCAAUUGGUGGCAUGAAAUGUACAUCUCGGAAUCUCCCCCGUUAUCUGGUCUUGUAAGUUGAUCUCUUUUGGGGUUGUGGUGGGUAGGUGACCCGAUUGGGGUUAACCGACUGUUGUACCUCCAGUAAUGACAUUUUUAGACAAUGGUGAGAUAAGGCUUGGAAUUGGUGUUUGGUAUUUUGAUCUUGCACGUUGUUUGGUGAAACCCUUUUUAGAUGACUCAAUGGGCUUGGGUUGAUUAACAUAUUUAUCAAUUGAUUUUAUUGAUUAAGAGUAUGGUAAUAUUUCUCUUAGAAAUAUUUUAGUGAAAGUGUUUUUUUAUAAAAUAUUUUUAAGAAAAUUAUCUAUUAAGUAUGUCUUCAAAAUGCAUUUUUAAGUGUUUUUUAAAUUUUUUAAAAAUGUUUUCAAAAUUUUAUCAAACAUCCAUUUUUCUUUUUCAAAAUUAUUUUAAAAUUAGAAGUGCUUUUUUAAAAAAACUAUCAACAGACUCUAGAUUCCCGUGUUGAGAAGAUUUCUCAUGCUUCAACGAAUUAAGUAUAAACAUCAUACAAAAAACCCUUCAAAAUUCCAUCAAGAAGUAAAUUGAAUUUGGUUAAAAUAAAUCCAAACCAGCAUAAUCUCCUAGGAUAGGUGAAAUUUUUUUACAUAUGGGUUAACUUUAUUCACUUUCCCUAAUUUUGAAUUAAAUUCAUCUAAUCACCAUUUACUUGAAAUUUCAUCAAAUAUUUUUUUUUUUAUUUGUUAUUUUUAUUGAUUUAUUAUUUAAUUUAAAAUAAGAAAAAUAUUUGAUAAAAUUUCAAGUUGACGAGGACUAAAUUUAUUUAGUUCAAGGAGGGUGAAAUUUACCAUUUUAAAUGGUAAUGCAUCAUUUCUAAUUUCAAGAAUCAUUACAUGUGGAUAAUACAAUAGAUGAUUAAAUAUGACAAAGUCAAAGAAAAAAGUGAGUAGGAUGCCAAUGCAUAGAAGCUACUUGACCCAUAAGGUUAAAGGUACAUUAGCCACCCAAAAUGGGCUGAGUUUCUUAGUCUGAGUCAUUCUCCAUACCCACUUUGGGCCAAGUUCGACUAGGCCCAAAGGCGAUAUCCAGGUCGACUUACGACCCAAUCCUAUCUUGGUUUGGGCCUUGGCAAGCUCGGGUUAGGCUUGCUAUUUUUUUAUUUAUAAUGUAAAAAUGGUUUAAAUAUUCUUCGUGUUUCUAAUUUAUGUUCAUUACAUCUUUUGAAAAAAAAAAAUCAAAAUACCAUAAAUUUGUUUUGAAAACAACCCAUUUUUAAAACAAAUUCUCCAAAAAUAAAAAAUUGCUUUAAGUAAAAGAUUUGUCGAACUUGUUUUAUAAGUUACAAAAGUUUUUUCUAUUUUAAAAAAUAAAAAGUUGUUUUAGUUUUCAAACAAACUCAUCAACCAAAUAAGAUGAAAUAUUAAAUAAAUAAAUAAAUUUAAAUAUAUUUUCUUUGUUUUUUUAAGCAAUGUGUAGACCCCCACUUUGGGAGGUAAUUGUUGUAGCAAAUUUUGCCAGGUGGAGCAGCUUUAAGAGGCCGCGUGGUGCCUCUUGACAGGCUGCUGAAGGAUCAAGUAGUGGAUUUGAGAGGCAAACCAGGUGGUGACACCUGUAAAGUGAUUCUUCAGGCAGUUAUGAGAUAUUUUUUUAGGACUGCCAGCUGCAUGAGUGAGGGGAGGUCGUCUGGCCGUUGGAGGAUACCUUUUUCCUGCCAGCUGCAGGGUAGUGGAGAAGAGGCUGGUCUGGGAGCAGGCCGUGGGAGAUAUUUUUUGGGGGAGUUUUUUUUUGGAGAGGGGGAUUCAUCUUUCAGAGGAGGAAAAAAAGUUGAGGGGGGAGAGAGGAAAAGAGAGGACGGCUACAGGAAGAGUUUUUUAGGGGACUUUCUCUGGGAAAGCUACUAGAGAGAGAAGGAAGCUCGCGGGAGAGAGGGGUAAGCUUUGGAGAGAACUAGGGAUGGAAGGGGGGAGGAGUAGCAGAGAGGUGAGUUUUUGGAGAGCUUAGAGAGAGAUAUUUUUUUAGGGCAUUGCUUGACAAGCAAGCCGGACAGGAGAAUAAGUUUUCUUAGAGCUUGAGGAGAGCUCAGAGAGAAAACCAAGGGGAACUUGCUGGUGAGAAUAGGAGGGGAUAUCUUUUCUUUUCUAGAGGUAGCAGAGUGGAGAAGAAACAAGUUUGAAGGUAAGCAUCUCGGGAGUAAAAGGACUUCCUCAGGUAUGAUUGCUACAGGCUUAUUGAUUGUUUUUGGCUGUUUAUCACUCUCCUAUGUCUCUUGUUGAUAUUUGAAUAUUUGUUGAUUUGCUUGGGGUGGAUAAUGGAGGCCACUUAUUGCUUGUUGAAACAUAAUCCUGUCUACAUGUUUACCACUGUUAACCUUAGUAUGUUUUGCUCCUAUUAUGAAAAUGCCCUCAGUUGCCUUUGAAAUGAUUUUUCUCACCUAAUCAGAGGGUUCACGGAUGACUCAUGAAGUGAAACCUCUGAAAAUCACCUUUACUCAUUUUCUUUUGUGUUCUUUUCAAUGGUUUUUUUUUCUUUGUUGUGACCAAUACUUUGCUUCUGGGCCUCGUUCAAUGUAAUGGCUGUAAAAAAGUAGAUCUGGGUCUAGUUGUGUACUCAUUCAGAGAUCAAAUAUGUUGGGAAGAGACUAUGAUUGGGUGAUGAGAUUCUACUAUAAGGUUCAAGGGAGGUUCAAUUGGUUCAAUGAUGCCACUCUGAAUUUGUUGAUAUCCUAUAUGUGUGUAGAAGAGAUGCUCAGUGGGUCUCCUUUGGGUAUCAAAACUCUGUUUUUCCUAGAUAUCAGUGGCAUGCUUAAAGGUAUAUUAUCAGGUCCUGGCCUGGUUGUAAGUAUAUCUAUUUCAUCUGCUGGAUUCUUGCGAAGAAAUCUCCCUCUAGCAGUUCUAGGAAAUGGGAAGACGUCAAUGGGAAUGUGUCUGUGGUUUCUGCUCAUGAGAAUAUAUUGAGUGAUCAGCCUGAGUUGCUGCAGCAACUUGGAAUGGACCUUUCUUUCUGUUCCAAUACUGAUCUAUGACCCAUUGAUAGAAGUCCACUUGGCAGAUUUUUGAAGAUGGAGAGGCUCGAAAACCAUCUAUGCAUACUGAUGUAGGUCCCGUGUCUGAGACAAGAGGUGCAGAAAAUGCCGAUUAUGCUGAUUCUGAUAAUAAAAACAGUGGGAUUUCUUGGGUCCUUAUUGUGAUGGUUGCCCUAUGUCACACCCUCAUGAGGAAGAAGACACCAAAACAGAAUAUCUCGGUAAAAUAUUAUGGUAUCAGCAGGGAAUGUCUCAAUGUCGUUACUGAUGAGUAAACUGACAUGGUUGCUGAGAAAGGCGUUUGUUUUGACAAGUCAACCACAGUUGAGAUCUCUGGAGACGCGCGGUCAUAGCCUAGAGCUCGCGCUGGAUGAGAUAUCAUUUGACUUGGCUGUGUCAAACAAAAAGGCGUACCAUACAGACUCCGCGGGAGCCUCAUGCUGCAUGCUAACUGAUGCUGAUUUUCUAAACUAUAAGUUUUGGAGGAAAACAGAAGGCCGGAGAUCAGCAUCAAGGCUUUCUUCUUCUCAAACCACUCAAUCAAGCAUCCGAUGAAACGCUGCACUUGAUCCUUGAGACACUGCAAGCAGCUAUAAAGACGGGUCAUGAAGCAUCUGCAGCAAUAAAACCCAUCAAUCUCAUUAUCCAUCAAGUCAAGCCAAACCAUUUCUCCAACCUCUUCACAGCCAUACCCGUCUUUCUUACCCCUGAACAUACCUAUUCUCCAUACCCAUUAAAUCUACUCCUCUUCACCACUCCUUCCACUGAUCCUAAGCCUUAUCUCUCUACACUACACGCCUCCAUACCCAUCUUCUAAUGCCCGUCACCACACCACUCCCUCACACUAUCCCACUCACCCAUGUUCAAAAGAAUGCGUGGCUAAAACACUGAGGAUGUUAAGGAGUUCCAGAGAGUGCCAGGGUGCAGAUGUAUAUAUAUUUCCAUGCAGUGAACAGAUUGCAAGAUGCCCACGAACAGAUCGGUACAGUCGUCUCAACAGUUUUGAAGGCAAGCCACCUGCUUCUCAUAUUUCUGGGGUCUUCGGAACGGGGUCUGAUUGGACAUUUUUCUAGUAUCCAACCGAAUUUGAUGCUGGAAGUGGGAGAAAUUCAAGGAAGGCCUGCGAAGACUACCUCUCAUGUCUUUGAUAACGAGAAUCAUUCCAGCUUGGAUUGAUAUUAUCCCAAAAGCUCCAGUUUUGCCAAAAGAUCCAAGAAUAAACGAAGCAAUGAAUGCUAGAAUCAUGGUACAAUCUUUCAAACGAGUUCAAGGUGCAGUUGCAGUGGAAAUCCUCCUAUCAAACUGAUCUCAUUCUCCAAACAAGCAGCUGAAACUUUGAUGAUAAGUGGGUCUAGUCAUUUAUGGUCGGACUCUCCCGGGGAUUGAGCACAUAGUUACACAGUUGUGAUUAUAUCCCCAAGUACUAACAUGAGUGAAGAUUUGAAAUCUCAGCAGUGGUGGCACCAUGUUGAGAAGGGAACCCUCCUUGAAGCUGCAGAUCACCAACUUUUGAAGAAUUUGAAGAAAAAUAUGAAGAAUUUGAAAACAAAAUAUGGAGGAACACCUCAAUUCAUUCUGUGAUACCUCCCUUUACAAUGAAUGAAAGCAUAAAUAAAUAGCCUACGGAUAUGAGACAAUUCCGGAAUGGAAUUUCCCUUACAUGGAAAGUGAAUAAACUCUUACAUGGGAAGUGAAUAAACUACUCUUACAUGGAAAGUGAAUAAACUACCUUGCUAGAAUUACUCCUAAAUAUAUAAACUACUCUUACAUGAAAAGUGAAUAAACUACCUUGCUAGAAUUACUCCUAAAUCAAUUAUAAUAAAGGUUGUACAUUACACUAAUUAGGGAAGUAAACAGAGGAUGCUGGCUUGAUUUCCAACACUCCCCCUCAAGCCGCGUUGUAGAUGUUGAUCAUUCCAAGUUUUUCUGUCAGAUCUUCGAAGUUAACUCGAGCAAGAGCUUUUGUGAGAAUGUCAGUCGUUUGACAGUUUGUCGAAGUGUAGCUGACUUUGAAAACUCCUUCUUCAAUCUUUUCCUUGAUAAAGUGUCGAUCUAUCUCCACGUGCUUAGUUCGAUCAUGAUGAACCGGAUUCUUAGCGAUACUGAUGGCAGCUUGAUUGUCACAGUAUAACACCAUGGGAUGCUUCAAUGGAACCCGUAAUUCUUCUAACAGCCUGUUCAACCAGAUUCCCUCGCAGAUACCUUGUGCCAUAGCACGAAAUUCUGCCUCAGCACUGCUACGGGCUACCACUGACUGUUUCUUGCUUCGCCAUGUAACCAAGUUCCCCCAGACAAAUGAACAAUAGCCUGAAGUUGAUCUCCGAUCAGUCACUGAACCUGCCCAAUCUGCAUCUGAAAAAAUCUCAAUCUCUUUAUUUGUUGUUCUUUGAAAGAAGAGACCCUUUCCCGGUGUCAUCUUGAGGUAUCUCAAUAUUCUGAUCACAGCAGUCAUGUGUUUUUCGGUUGGAUUAUUCAUGAAUUGACUUACCACACUAACGGAGAAGCCGAUGUCUGGCCUUGUAUGAGAAAGAUAGAUGAGUUUCCCCACAAGACGUUGAUAUCUUCCUUUAUCAACUGGCGCACUUCCAUCACUUUCUUCCAGUUUGACAGUUGUAUCCAUAGGUGUUUCUGCCGGCUUGCAUCUUAGCAUUCCUGUUUCAUUCAAUAAGUCCAGAACGUAUUUGCGUUGUGAGACUGCUAUACCUUUCUUUGACCUAGCAAUCUCCAUUCCGAGAAAGUACUUGAGGUUUCCAAGAUCCUUGAUCUCAAAUUCCUUUGUCAGUAAUUUUUUAAGUAAGUCAAUUUUCUCUUCAUGAUCACCUGUCAAAAUUAUGUCGUCCACAUAUACAAUGAUAAUUGCCAGUUUCCCUUCUAGGAAGUGUUUCACAAAUAAUGUGUGAUCGGAUUGACAUUGAACGAAUCCGUACCCUUUCACUACCUUAGUGAACCGUUCAAACCAGGCCCUGGGAGAUUGUUUGAGACCAUACAAGGAUUUUCGGAGUCUGCAAACCUUGUUGAAAUUUGAUGUCGUCUCAAGUCCAGCAGGAAUGUCCAUGUAAACUUCUUCCUCUAAGUCACCAUUGAGGAAGACAUUCUUCACAUCAAGUUGGUGAAACGACCAAUCGAGAUUAGCUACCAAGGAUAAAAGUACACGAACAGUAUUGAGCUUGGCAACUGGAGCAAAAGUUUCUUGAUAGUCAAUGCCAUAGGAUUGGGUGAAUCCUUUGGCAACCAACCGAGCCUUAUACCUGUCCACAUUACCAUCUGCCUUGUACUUUACUGUGAAAAUCCACUUACACCCAACUGGUUUCUUACCUCUUGGGAGGUCAGUAAUUUCCCACGUACCAUUCUUUUCCAGCGCCCGAACUUCCUCAUCGACUGCCGCCUUCCACUUAGGAUACUUGAAAGCUUCCUGAAUAUUCUGAGGAACUUGUAUCUCUGUGAUGCUAGAAGUGAAUGCACGAAACGUAGGUGAUAACUUAUCAUAAGAAAUAAAAUUUCCAAUGGGAUGCUGAGUACAUGAUCUAACUCCUUUCCUCCAAGCUAUGGGCAUAUUAAGAAUAUCAUUUUCUAACUCGGAAUCAACAGUACCAUCAGGAGCGUUGUUACCUGGAAGUUUGCUUGGAUUAGGACCCGGUUCUGCCUCAUGGGUUUGUUGAGAAAGUGUUUUUUCCUCCGUUUCCUCUUGGAUGUGCUCCUUAUCCCACAAGUCAACAAUGGACUCGGGUUGAUUAAAUGACUCUGGAGGAAUGUGAUUUUCAGUGGUGAUGGGUGACUCACUGAAUGACUCAAGAUCCCAAAAUUGAUAUUCCUGAGUUGAAUUCUCCCCCUGAAUAUCGUUUUUGGGAUAGUAAGGCUGGGUUUCAAAAAAGGUGACAUCCAUUGAAUUGUAGAAUUUUCUUGUGACCGGAGAGUAACACUUAUACCCUUUUUGAUUUGAAGAAUACCCAAGAAAGAUGCACUUGAGUGACCUAGGAUCAAGUUUACUUCUAUGUUGUUGAUUGAUAUGAACAAAGACAGAGCACCCGAAAAUUUUGGGUGGGACGGUGGAGAUGAGACGAGUAGUCGGAAAGGAUUUUAGGAGUGUUUGACAAGGUGUUUGGAAUUUUAGUACCCUAGACGGCAUCCUAUUGAUGAGGUAGGCUGUCGUAAGGACAGCUUGCCCCCAGAAUAAUUUUGGAACAUUCAUGGAGAACAUUAGUGAUCUAGCCACCUCUAACAAAUGUCUAUUUUUCCUUUCAGCGAUUCCGUUUUGUUGUGGGGUAUCAACACAUGAACUUAAGUGAACUAUCCCUUCUUGUGCUAGAAAUUCUCCUAGAAUGGAGUUGAAAUAAUCCCUAGCAUUAUCAGACUUUAGAAUUUGUAUUUUUGACUGGAAUUGGGUCUGAAUCAUAUUUUUAAAAUUUUUGAAAAUUUGACUCGUUUCAGAUUUUUCUUUCAUGAGGAAUACCCAAGUUAAUCUAGUGUGAUCAUCUAUGAAUGAGACAAACCACCUAGUACCAGUUACAUUUUUUAUUCUUGACGGACCCCAGAUAUCGCUAUGAAUCAUUGAGAAUAGACUAGACUCUUUAUAGGGUUGAAUGGGAAAAUGAGACCGGACUUGCUUUGAUAAUUGACAGAUUUCACACUCAAAGGAUUUUGGAUUUUUAUUAAAUAAUGAAGGAAAUAAAUGCUUGAGAUACAUAACAUUUGGAUGACCUAAGCGAUAGUGCCACAACCUAAUUGCACUAUCGUUAUUUUGACAUGAAACCGAAAAAGAAUUACUACCAACUGUCAUUUGAGGUUGUUCUUGUGGAUCGUGGCACUCCUUAAGGAUGUAGAGUCCAGAGCAUUCCUCAGCAUUGCCAAUCGUCUUCCCCGAAUCCAAAUCCUGAAAUUCACAGUGAGUGGAGGAAAAAUUAGUAAUACACCUCUUUUCCUUAGUGAGUUUACUAAUUGACAAUAGAUUACAGUCCAAGUUAGGAACAAGGAGAACAGAGUUGAGAGUAAGAUCCCUUGAUAGCACAACUGAACCUGUUCCGGCAACCUUUGAUAGUGAACCAUCUGCUAUUCGGACUGUUAAAUUAUUUGGACAUGAGCUAUAUGUAUCAAAAAUUGUCGCAUCUCCCGUCAUAUGAUCAGAUGCUCCUGAGUCCACUAUCCAAGGUUUUUUACGUUUCUUACCAGCAGUGAAGGCACUCAAAAAAUUACUUUUGUGAGCCAAGGUUCCGGAACCAAUGACCUGGUUGGAAGAUGAGCCAGUUUGUGACUGUACUGACAAAAGAGGAGACAGUAGUUUCUGAAGCAUCUCCAUUUGCUCCUUAUUAAAAGGGCUAGCUUCAGGUUGUGGCGAUUGUUCAUCGGUAGCCACAUGAUUGCCUCGUCCUUCUUUCUCAAGUGGUUGACGUGGCUUCCAAUCUACUGGCUUUCCAUGAAUCUUCCAGCAAGUUUCUCUUGAGUGUCCCGGCUUUCUGCAAUGAUCACACCAAGGUCUACCUCCUUUAAUUUUUUGACGGUUGUCAAAAGGAGCGAAUUGAGUCUUAAGAGCCGAGCUUUCUGCCAUAUUCAGUUGUUGAUGGGAUCCCAUCAUGAGAUUUUUCCGACUUUCUUCGCGACAGACUUCAGAGAAUGCCUCUCUGAGGCUAGGUAGGGGUUUUACUCCCAUGAUUCUUCCUCUGAUUUCAUCAAGAUUUUUGUUCAAACCUAACAAAAAUUUAAACACACGUUUCCCUUCGACAAUCUUUUUAUACAAAAAACCAUCUGUAACACAAUUCCAGUUAUGAACCUCAAACGUAUCAAGUUGACGCCAUAGACGAGUAAGAGUAUUGAAAUAUUCAGUUACCGUAAGGUUUCCUUGACGCAAAUCGUGGAGGAUGCCUUCAAUCUGGAUGAUUUCAGAUGUGUUUUCCUUGUCUGAGAAAGUUUCUUUUGCAGUGUCCCAGAUUUUUUUGGCAGUAUCAAAAGACAGAAAAUCUUCACCAAUGUCAGCGGUCAUAGAGUUGACUAGCCAGGACAUGACCAUAUUAUUUUAUGCUCUCCACUUUUUGUAGGUUGAUGCUGUGGUUUCUGGUGCCACCGAAGCUCCGGUGAUGUAGUCAUCUUUCUCCUUUCCCCGUAUAAACAUUAAUAUGGACUGAGACCAUUGCAAAUAAUUUUGCCCAUUCAGUUUAUGGGCUGUGAUUGGAAGAUGAGAGGUUUCCAUCUGAUGAGAGGAUGAAGACGAUGAGAUGAUGAUAUCAGAAGUAGAGGAUGAUGAGUUGGUAGCCAUUCCAAAGGCUGGACCGUAUUUAGGCAUAAAUUAGAAGAAUAGAAUUGAGUAAAAAAAAACUGACUAAAGAUGAAGACGAUGAGACAGGAUUAAACCUGCUCUGAUACCAUGAAGAAUUUGAAGAAAAAUAUGAAGAAUUUGAAAACAAAAUAUGGAGGAACACCUCAAUUCAUUCUGUGAUACCUCCCUUUACAAUGAAUGAAAGCAUAAAUAAAUAGCCUACGGAUAUGAGACAAUUCCGGAAUGGAAUUUCCCUUACAUGGAAAGUGAAUAAACUCUUACAUGGGAAGUGAAUAAACUACUCUUACAUGGAAAGUGAAUAAACUACCUUGCUAGAAUUACUCCUAAAUCAAUUAUAAUAAAGGUUGUACAUUACACUAAUUAGGGAAGUAAACAGAGGAUGUUGGCUUGAUUUCCAACAACUUUCAAAGCAGGGUACCAUUUGCACCUCAAGUCCGCGUGCAUGGCCACCUUUUGCAUGGCCAACUUAGGGCCGCGUGUCACUCUCCCGAAUUCCUUCCUUUUGACUUUAAAAAUAAAUUUCCUAAACCUCAUUUUCUAAAAUGAUUUCUUUAAUUCUGUUUUUUUUAAUUAGUUUCGAAUCUUCAAAUUUUCCCAUCCUUAGCAUUUUUCUUAGGUUCCAAAAAUCCCAUUUUCAAUAAAAUUUGGUUACCAUUUUCUUUUCGGCAAGCCACUUUUGAAUUUUCUUUGUUUUCUAAAAAUGUUUUAAAAUAAGUAAGGAUUAAAUUCUGUAAUUCCAAAUGAUGGAAUUUACGGAAUUAAUUCAUGCAAGAAUAAAACGGGCAUUGGUGGGGGUCCGACAUAUGUGACUUUGUAAUUGAUUGAUUGAUUGAUUGAAAUAAUACCAUGCAUGAUAUUGGUGUUCCUUUAUCUAGUUGGGUGAUAUGAGUGAUAUAUUUUAUGCACAUUACUAUGCACUAAUCCCAUUUUGUGAUAGCGUGUUGCCGUUUGCUGAUCAAAUACGCAUCCACUUCCACUUCGGUUAUCCUCUAUUGCAUAUUUUGAUACUCAUAUGUGCAUGAUUGAUUCGAGUAUUCAUUGAUUUUCUCAUUGAUUGUCAUAUAAGCUUCAUCUCAUUAGUAGAGACCCGACUUUAGGGACUUAGAAGGGUGCUACGGUCUUUACCGUACAUUCCCGAUAAGUAACCUAACCCCCGAACCCGAUCCGAUUUUUCACAGACCGCCUUUUCCAAAAUAAGGAGUCACACUUAGGGUUUUGCUUUCUUAUUUUGUUUACCCUUUAAAAAUAAAACAAAAAUAAGUGGCGACUCCAAGUCCUUUUUCUUAAUCAAUAAAUUAAAUCAUUUUUUCAAAAUCAAAAUCGAGAGCUUGCCAUUUGAGUGGGUAACGCAUUGAGCCGAAAUGCGGGGUCCACACAAUGUUUUAAAAAUCAAACUGAUUAUUGAAGCGAAAAAAUUACGAUUUACUGUUCAAUGGUUGAACUAGUGGUUGAACAGUAAUAAAACCGAUAACAUCAUAAAUAUAUCAUUUAUAUAUUAUUAAAUUAAAAAUAAUUUUAAAUUUUUAAAAUUUUAAAAUAUACAUAUAAAUAAAUUAAAAAUCAAUAAUAUUUAUUUUUUAUCUUUUAUAUUAUUAAAUUAAAUAAUGCAUGACUAUAAAUGUAUUAAUAUACUAAAUUUUAUUAAAUGAGAUAUGUAUAAUAUUUUAAGUGGAUAUAUUAAAAAUCAAAGAAAAUCCAAUUAUUUAAUUUUAGCUAAUUUUAUCAUUUUUAAAAAUAUUAUAUUAUUGUUAUUCAAUAUUUUUAAUUUUUAUUUUAGAAAAGAAAUAUAUUGUUUUUUGUUUGCCUUACAGAGCAUCAAAACAUCUGUAGCCGGAUGGUGCCCCCAGGCCACUUCCUAAGCGCUUUUCAUUCACUGAUUUUCCCUUCAACUUUAAGAUCAUAUUGUCCAUAAGAAAAAAAAUAUGGGCUGGCAUUUUAAAAUGGGCCUGAUUGAAUAAAAAAAGAAAGGGUGGAAAUAUAGGGAGGGCCUUGGAAUUGGGCCCAUUUUGAAUUAAAAAAAAAAAAAAGGGUCAUUGGAUCGAGACUGUUCGGUUCUGCAUUGUGCGGAAUAAAAGAAUAUGGGCUGGCAUUUUAAAAUGGGCUUGGUUGAAUAAAAGAAGAAAGGGUGGCAAUAGAAGCUUGCCCUUGGAAUUGGGCCAUUUUGAAUAUAAAAAAAAAGGGUCAUUGGAUCGUUCGAUUUACCGGUUCGGGAGAGAAUCCAGACCGGAAAGAUUAUCAGAUGACAGUUGGACUAAAAUUAAAAUUUAAAACUAUUGUAUAUAUAUAUAAAAGAAAAAACUUGAGCGAAAAAAUAGAAAAUAGGUUUAAAAUUAAUAAAUUAUUUUUAUAUUUAUUUAUUUUAAUACUUUUUAUAUAAAGAUUAAAUAAUUUUAAAAUAUAUAAUUUUUUAUUAAUUUUAAUUAUAUAUAUUUUUAAACAUAAUAAAAUUAUUUUUUAAUAUUUUUUAUUUUCUUAGUAUUUUUCAAGGAUAAAAAAUAACUUAUAGGAAACCGAUGAAACGUUAUUUAGUAUUUAUUUCUUUUAGAAAUUCAAACAGGAAGUUGGUUUUGAAUGGUCUACCUUCAAUUGGUCAAAGUUUGUAGAAGAAAUGACGCCCACGAACCACGUGCCUUGGUUUCUUAGUCAAGCUCUAACAAUAACAAAAAGUCAAAAAUAUUAAUCAGUUCCAACUUCCAACUGUAACAUUCUUGGUUACUUCCUUUCAAAUGUGAAGUCUGGGUUUCAACUUUCAAACCCUUCCACCACGAUCUAAAUUAUGAUGGCCCACAAAAGAUACAGCGUGAAGAGGAUAAAAAAGUCAAACUAAUAUGGAAGCUUCUGAGCUGGGCCCCGCAAACCAAUUUUCGUCGUGGCCCGUGGGUCCCAAACUCCAACUUAGUCGUUAUUAAUUUCCACAUGGAUGUUAACAAUUUCGGGAUACCGAUAUUGACGCUUCAUCCCUUUCCAAAAAAAUGUUUUGAAGGGGGUUAGGUGCGUUCAUAUGAGAAAUCCCUAUCCCUCUUCCAUCUUGCCUUAUCUCGUUUAAUAUUUAUUUUUCAUUUUUAUAAUUUUUAAUUAUAUUAUAAAUUUUUGUUAUUAUUAUUAUUUUUAUAAUAUGUAAUUUUUUUUUAUGUAUUAUAAGGAGGGAAAAUAAAAAUUAAAUUAAAUUAAUUAUUAUUAUUAUUUAACCAUGUAUAUAAUGAUAAACGUUGAUUUGCUCGAAUUUGUAGGAGGUUUUAAAUUUUUCAAUCCUAUUUAUAUAUUAUUUAUGUCUCUCUAAUCUUAAAAAGGGAUGUAUUAAAAAACCUGAUAAAGAAUAUUUUUAUCAAGGUAGAUGUUGAAUAGUUUAAAUAUUGGGCACGACUAAAUUGAAGUUAACAAACAAAUAACAUAAAUAUAAGGGCUAAAUCAUAAAAAUAUACAUAGUGAGCCCCACAAAAAAAGAAUAAAUUAUGGAUUGAUAGUAAUAUCAUAAUAAUAAGACAUAAAUAAAUGGAUAAAUGAAUAAUAUUAUAAUAAUUAAUACGUUAAAAAAUGUGAUUUUUAUAAAAAAAACACUGCAUUGAUAGUAUCUAAAUUUAACUAUUUGAUUUAUAAAUGAUUAUUUAUUUUUAAAAAUAAAUAAUUAUUUUUUAAAAUUUUGUAGUAUCAUUCAGCUAUUGUCAUUUCACAAUAGUUUUUUUAAAACAAUGGCUUCUCUUAAUGUUCUCCUUAGACAAACAUAUUUCAAAUCAAAUCUAACGCUUAAAAAACAAAAUAAAUAAAUAAAUCUAUGGAAUCAAUACUUGAAAGUCACAAGAUCCAAAAAUUAAUAUAAUUAAUAUUAAAAAGUUAUAAAUCAAAAUUGAUUGGAAACCAGAAAUACUUUCCUAAUUUCCCAUUUUUAAUAUAAUUUUAUUUUUUUUAUUUUUCUAUUAAGUAAGUAAACUCUAAAUCAAGUGAGGUUAGUGUAUUGGAUUCAUAAAAAAAUAAUUUUUAAAAAUAAUUAUAAACUUAAAUAUUAACCCAAUAGAUAAUAAAAAAUCAAGAACAAAAAGAUUUUAUAUAUUUUUUUUCUGAAUUUUCUCAUUAAAGUAGCUCCAUUUUCUAAACUAAUUAAAAAACUCUUUACUUUAAUAUUUUCUAAAAUAAAAUCAUCUUUAAAAAAGAAUUUAAAAACCAUUUUUAAAAAUUAUAAUGUCAAUCAUAUUUUAUAUAGGACCAUUCUUUAAUAUUCAAAAACCAAAUCCCAAACUAUUUUUAUUAAUAAUAUAAACACCUGGGUUAUGUUUAGUUCUUCAAAAGUUUGAGGGAAAACCCGAGAAAGUUUGGAGGACAACACACGAAAAAAAAUAGAAAGGAAUAUAGAUGGAAAGAAAAAGUAUAUAAAAAAAAAAAAGAAUAGAUUUAAAGUCAAUAAAUUAUUUUUAUAUAAAAAUUAAAUAAUUUUAAGAAAUAUGUAAUUUUCUUAUACAUUUUACUUUCCUUUGCAUUUUUCAUAAUAAAAUCAAAUAUAAAAAAAUUAUUUUCUUUUUUUUCCUAAUACUUUCCACAAAGUAACAUGACCCUAAGAGUUCAUUUGUUCUCAAGACUUUUUUUUUCUUUUGUCCUAAUACUUUCGACGAAGUAACAUGACCCUAACAGUUGAUUUGUUCUUAAGUCUUGACAACUAAUUUUCUUUAGAAAACGCGUGAGGGGUUUUUUACCAUUCCACAAAGAAAAACAAAAAAAUCAACUUCACCAUUAUGAUUUUAAUGACCAUCCUUUGUGUUUACUUUCAUGGAAAGAAAAUAAAAAAUGGAUUUAUUGAAAGUGAAGGAAUAGGUUAGGUGAAUGAUAUCAUCAAUCAUACGCAAUAAUACUUAUGUACUAUAAAAAUUAUAUUCAAACAUAAAUUUCAUAAAAAAAAUCUAUUAAUUGUAAGCUAAGAAAUAAAUAAAGAAGAAGCCAUCGAUGAAUGAGGUGACCAAUUCCGUGUAAAGCAUAUUUAACUUCUAAUAAUUAUGUAUUAUAAAAUUCAUAUCUAAAUAUUAAAUUUUAUCAAAAAUCGAUUAAUUGUAAGUGAAGAAAUAAGGAAAAAAGUCAUUGAUAAAGUAUAUGUAACCAAUACUACUUGUAAAGUUUAUAUUCACAUAUAAAUUUCAUUUUCACCACUCAUGUGAUUUUUAAUAAUUAAUUGAUUAAAAUUGAUAUGCUAUACAAAUAGUGAAGUAGAAAUUGUUAAAAAAAAAUUAAUAAUUUUGUGGAAGGGUUAGAUGUGGGUUAAUUUUUUUUUUUUUUUUUUGGCUUUGUUUCUAACACCUUUGACUAAUUAUAUGUUGUAUUUAGUUCCAAAUGUUAAAACAACGAUAGUGGAAACUCCAAUGCCAUUUCGUUUGAGUAUCGUUCAUUGGUCCGAUGGACCGGAGGAACAAGUUGAAUAUAUCAUCGUAUAAAUAAAAGACAAACAUUUGGGGGAUUAACACAAGUAUCCAACCCAUUCCCACCAAUUCGCAGUAGCUCCACGUUUCAUAAUCUGUCUCAAAUUCUCGAACUUCUUUAAAGAGCGUUGAAGGGUGUGAUGAGAUUUUUGGCUUUGUUUAGUCUUCUCUUUUCGGUACUGAUGUUUCCAACAGCAGAGGCUAGAAUCAGAAGGUAUAGAUGGGAGGUGAAGUAUGAGUACAAGUCUCCUGAUUGCUUUCAGAAGAUGGUUAUCACCAUCAAUGGACAAAGCCCCGGUCCAACAAUCCUGGCCGAAGAAGGAGACACCGUCAUUGUUGAGCUCAAUAAUAGUUUGUUGAUAGAAAAUGUCGCAAUCCACUAGCAUGGUAUCAGACAGGUAGAGCAAAGAUUAAUAUAUAAUGUUUUCUUUUUUCUUCCCCUUUCUGGGCUUAAUUUUGCAGUUCUAAUGGUUCAUCUUCUUGAUAAUUACAGAUUGGGACGCCAUGGUUUGAUGGAACGGAAGGGGUGACCCAGUGUCCAAUCCUGCCAGGAGAUACCUUCACAUAUGAGUAUAAAGUGGAUAAGGUAAGAUUGAUCAGUGGUCUUAAUCAAGAAAGUUGGAACCAGUACUACUUUCAAUUAUCUGAUGAUAUUAUUCUUUGGUGUAUGCAGCCUAGGACUUAUCUAUACCAUGCCUGUUGAGGCCUCGCGUCCCUGGUAAUCCACGUAGUUGCCAAAUGGAUGGAUGUACGAUCUCAACCAAUACAGGUUCUUGAUUCAGUCGUUUCACCUGUAAAAGGUGUCCGGACGCACCCUCCGAUGGUUUUGUCAACCAUGGUUAGAGAGAGAUAAAUCAGUUGGCAUUUUUCCAAGUAUAGCAAAACUUACCUUCCCCUUUGUGUGAAUGUUUGUAUAUAUAGUAUCAGAAGCUUUGUUCCCCUCUUUAAUGGUGGGGAGAUAUUUUGUGUUGUCAUGAUGGACACUAGGUGGUGGCAGGGUCAUCAUCACCCUAAGGACGACUGACAGAGAUCGUGGUAGGUGAUCAUGUGAAGUGAUCGACGGAAGUGACUUGUUGUCAAUUCAUCUUGUCCUUUCACUCUGUAGAUGGCGAGAUGUGGGCCAUAGCAGGCUGUUGUGAUAACGUGUAAGACUUGCUUACUUCAAUCAAUGAUCUGGAAAAACGUAUCUGAAUGGCCUAUGUUGGUCAUCCGGAUGCAUUUGUGGAAGUCAUCCGGAUGUUAUAUUUGUGAGUGUCGUGUGCCUCUCCUUGAGGGAGUCCGGAUAGGAAAGGCGCGCCACGUGUACUCUUGGGGAAAUCCGGAUGAGGGUGAUCCGGAUGACAAUGCGUGCCACGUGUCAUAACAAGGUGUGUGGCACGUGUUACCAGGAGGAGUGUGCCACAUGUUAUCAAUGGGAGGGGUCCCUACAAUGCCCAUUACGGAAUGCAAAGAGAAGUUGGGCUGUAUGGAUCGAUUCGUGUGUCGAUUGCUCAUGGGAAGACUGAGCUCUUUUCCUAUGACCACGACCGGAGCAUCAUCCUCACUGACUGGUACCAUAAUACCACUUAUGAACAAGCCCUGGGCUUGUCCUCCAAUCCUUUUGACUGGGUCGGGGAGCCUCAGGUGAAUGCCAACAACUACUGCUUCCGCCAUAGCAUUCUGGUUUGUUCUGCUCUUCAUCUUCUGAUGUCUUUUUCUGUCUGUUAAUUUUUCAGUCCCUUCUGAUUCAAGGAAAAGGAAGAUACAACUGCUCCCUAGUUUCAAGUCCUUACGUCUGUAACGCAGCAAGUCCUCAGUGUUCUCCCUAUGUAUUCACUGUAGUUCCAGGGAAAACAUAUCGCCUUCGGGUCUCCAGCUUGACUUCCCUGUCAGCUCUCAAUUUCCAAAUAGAGGUUGGUAUAAUUAAAAACUUCACCGUGGUUUCUUAUUCCUUGCUUCUACUUGGUCAAGUCAUAUUCCACACAAAAAAGUCAGAACACUACGAAUUUAAGAACUCAUCUUUAGCUAUAUAAUUGUGUUUUAAAUAUGUAAAGCUUCUGUUAUGAAUAGUAUUAAAGUUAAUUCUUAACUUCAUUGUAUGAGUUUGAUUGGUCCCAUAAGUAAUGUUUAUAUGUUUGAUCCCAUGAGAUACAAUGAGGAUGUUGUAUUUGUAUGAUAAUAAUUGUAAUAUUCUAUAUCAAAUAUGUAAAAAGUUCCUAAUAUUAUAUAUGUCUGAACUUCUCUUAAACCUAUGGGUGAGUUUUAAACAUGUGACGGGGUUUUGGGUCCAAAACCAAUGAUGAAAAUAUCGGUAAUCACGGAUAUAUCGAUAUUUCAAUUUUACGGAUAUAUCGAAUAUAUCGGAGAUAUAUCGGUGGAUAUUUUGGAAAAAAAUAUUGGUAAGCUUAAAAUUGUUAAAAACUCAUGAAAAUGUAAAGAAAACCUCAUAAUAAUAUAAUUAGAAGUAUAAUAGACAUUUUAAAGUUAUUUUAUUGAAAAUUUUGAUAUAUGUAUAACAUGAUUUAUCAUAUUUGAUAAUAAUAUCGUAUGCAUCGAUAAAAAUAUGAAUUUUAUAAGUGUACAUUUAUUAUUAAAUUACACCUAAUAUUAUGAUAUUUGAUUAUAAUAUGUCUAAUUUUAAAAUAUAUAUUAGUAUUAAAAUAUGAUUUAUUUAAUUCAAUUGUAUUAAACAAUAUAAAAUAAAUAAUGAUAUAUAUAUAAUUUUUUAAUAUUUAAUUAAUUAUUAAUGAUAUUAAAAACAUUAUGAAGAAAAUUAUAUAAUUUUUAUAUUUUUGGUAAUUAAUUAAAAGACUUUGCAUUUAAUUAUAAAAUAAUUAUAAUUAAUUUGCUCUUUAAAACAUUCUUAUAUUUUCUUUAUAUAAUGAAUUUAAGUAUAUAUAUACUCUCAGCAGUAAGCAAAAUGGGAGGUAGCGCGUUGACGGGCACUGUAGCGGAGACGACUUUCGUUGACCCGCGUUGACCCGCGUUGACCACGCGAUAUAUCGUGAGAUAUUCGUGUCGAUACCCUUCGACACAUGAUAUUUCGGCGAUAUAUCGCCGAAAUAUCGCGACAUUUUCCUCCUUGUCCAAAACAAAGAAGAUAAAUGGUUAUGUUAGGUGGUCUGUCAACAACGUCUCCUUCAACUUGCCACACACCCCCUAUCUAAUCGCUCUCAAAGAGAAUAUAACUGGAGCCUUCGACCCAACCCCACCUCCAAAUGGUUAUGAUUUUGUAAACUAUGAUAUCUACAAUGUGGCGAAUAACACCAACGCUACAUCCAGCAACUCAAUUUAUAGGCUGCAGUUCAAUACAACAGUGGAUAUUAUACUGCAAAACGCAAACACCAUGAAUAAGAAUAACAGCGAGACGCACCCAUGGCAUCUCCACGGGCAUAAUUUUUGGGUAUUGGGCUAUGGAGAAGGUAAGUUCGACAAUUUCAGUGAUCCAAUAAAGUACAAUCUGAUCGACCCAAUUAUGAAGAACACGGCACCUAUUCAUCCUUAUGGAUGGACUGCCUUAAGGUUUUGAUCUGAUAACCCAGGUACCUGGGCAUUCCAUUGUCAUAUAGAGUCUCAUUUCUAUUUGGGUAUGGGAGUUGUUUUUGAAGAAGGGGUCGAGAGGGUGGGAAAGCUGCCUUCAUCUAUCAUGGGUUGCGGUAAAGCCAAGGGUCUCGGCCGGUAGUAUCACUACAUGAAGGUAGGUUUAUGGCCACGGCCAGCAGCCCCGGCUAAAAGUAAGACACGAUGGUGAGGGCACGUGUGGCCACAAAGAAAUAAAAUAUAUUUGUAUAUAAAUAUUCGUCAAUGAAAUAACAAGAUAUGGACCAAUUGUAACAAAUAACAAGAUCAACAAAUGAGGGUUCACUUCAUGGGUUAUCAGUGAGCCUGCUAACUAGAAGGGCAAGACCAAAUCAAAUGUAAGCAUGUACGACAUUCCCAAGCAUCUCACAGUAGAGGCAAAACAGAGCAAGAUCCAUCAUCUACUGAAACUAAAGGGAAUAACAGAGAAAGCAGUAACAACAAGCUUACAUCCAUCCCAAAGAUCAACAGAAAGAUCAAGAAUAGAGCCUAUUAAACCUGAUCUAAACAAAGUGAGAACCAACAGGGAGGAAAUCAAAACAUGGAGAAAACAGAAAGUAAUAAAAUAUUUCAUUUUGAUCUUUUCCAAUUCGUUAAAUUACCUCCAUUUUCUAAACUAAAUAAAUAAAUUCUAUACUUCAAUAUUUUCUUUUAAAAAAAAAAUCAUCUUUAAAAAAUAUUUUUAAAAAUUAUAAAGUCAAACAUAUUUUAUAUUCCACCAUUCUUUAAAACCAUUUUUAUCAUUCCAUUUCAAAAACCAAAUUCCAAACAAUUUAAGUUUAUAAUGUAAACAGCUAAGUUUUGAUUUGUCUCCAAACGCAACAGCGAAUUUCAAAUUUUCUUUCCACAUAAGAAAAAUGUAAACGCGUGAAGGAAAAUUCUUACCAAUUUCGUACUUUUUAUUAUUCAAUAAAAAAAACAAGAAGUCAACUUUUUCUUUAAGACUUUGAUUAGCAUCUUUUGUGUUUGAUUCCAUGGAAAAUAUAUCAUCAUAUUCAUCAAUAGAUGUUUAACAAAUGUCAAAAAAAUUUCUAUUUAUUAAGUAAUGACAUGCAUUUUUUUCUAGUUCAAUGUAGGGUCUAACAUCUUUAAGUAAUUAAUUUAAUUAAUUGGUGAAUCUAUUAUCCAUUUCAAUUUGCAUAUUCAUUUUUGGAUUUUUUGUAGGAGUUAUUUAGGAUUUUUUUUUCUUUUUUUGUUAUGUUUUUCAAAAAAUAACAAACAAAUUUCAAUUGUUUUCUUAAAUUUUGAAGUAUAUCUUGUAUUUAGUUGCCAAUAUUGAAUGUAAACAAUGUGCUUUGAAGUCAACGAUUUCGGAAAUUACUAUGUUAUUUCAUUUUAGAAUCCAAUGGUCUGAAAUUGACCCUAUGAUUGUAUAAAGAGACAAAAAUUUGGGGGAUUAAUACAAGUAUACAACCAUUCCCACAAUUCGCAGUAGCUCCGCGUUUCAUAAUCUGUCUCAAAUUCUCAAGUUCUUUAAAGAACGUUGAAGAUGGGUGUGAUGAGAUUUUUGGCUCUGUUUAUUCUUCUCUUUUCAGUACUGAUUUUUCAAGCAGCAGAGGCAAGAAUCAGAAGGUAUAAAUGGGAGGUGAAGUAUGAGUACAAGUCUCCUGAUUGCUUCCAGAAGAUGGUUAUUACCAUCAAUGGACAAAGCCCCGGCCCAACAAUCCUGGCCGAAGAAGGAGACACCGUCAUUGUUGAGCUUACAAAUGGUUUAUUGACAGAAAAUGUCGCAAUCCACUGGCAUGGUAUCAGACAGGUAGAGCAAAGAUUCAUAUAUAAAGUUUCUUUUUUCUUUCCCUUUCUGGGCUUAAUUUUGCAGUUCUGAUUGUUCAUCUUCUUGAUUACAGAUUGGGACGCCAUGGUUUGAUGGAACAGAAGGCGUGACCCAGUGUCCAAUCCUGCCUGGAGAGACCUUCACAUACGAGUAUAAAGUGGAUAGGGUAAGAUUAAUCAGUGGCCUUAAUUAAGCCUCUUCCCAAUAAGCUUCAUCUCCAGAAAGUUGGAACCAGCACUGUCAAUUAUCUGAUUAUAUUAUUCUCUGGUGUAUACAGCCUGGGACUUAUCUAUACCAUGCCCAUUACGGAAUGCAAAGAGAAGCUGGGCUGUAUGGAUCGAUUCGUGUGUCGGUUGCUCGUGGGAAGACUGAACCCUUUUCCUAUGACUACGACCGGAGCAUCAUCCUCUCUGACUGGUACCAUAAUACCACUUAUGAACAAGUCCUGGGCUUGUCCUCCAUACCUUUUGACUGGAUCGGGGAGCCUCAGGUGAAUACCGACUCCUAAUACUGCUUCCGCCAUAGCAUUCUGGUUUGUUCUGCUCUUCAUCUUCUGAUGUCUUUUCCUCUCUGUCUGCUAAUUUUUCAGUCACUUCUGAUUCAAGGAAAAGGAAGAUACAACUGCUCUCUAGUUUCAAGUCCUUAUGUCUGUAAUGCAACAAGUCCUCAGUGUUCUCCCUAUGUACUCACUGUAGUUCCGGGGAAAACAUAUCGCCUUCGGGUCUCCAGCUUGACUUCCCUGUCAGCUCUCAGUUUCCAAAUAGAGGUUGGUAUAAUUAAUAAAUUCACCGCGGUUUCUUAUUCCUUGCUUCUACUUGUUCAAGUGAUAUUCCUCACAAAAAUAUUAUAACAAUACAUUUUUAAGAGCCCAUCUUAAAUAUAUAAGGGAGAAUUAUGUUUUGGGGGUAGAUGGCUCCCAAAUUAACAAAAGGUUCAUAUAACUCUUUAAAUUGAGCCCAAGACCCAAUGAAAGUAUGAAAAUUGAGUUGAAGGAUAUCAUCCUUCAGUAUUUCCAAAAAUAUCCUUUGUUGAUUUUGAGAAAAAAAAUUAAUAUUUUUGAAAAAUAUUUUUAUAUAAUUUAAUAUUUUUUAUUUAAUUUAAUAUUUUUUUAAAAAUACUUUUAUGUAAUUUAAUAUUUUUUAAAAUACUUUUAUUUAAUUUAAUAUUUUUUAAAAAUAAAUUAAUUUAAUAUUUUUGAAAAAAAAUUAUUUAAUUUAAUAUUUUUGAAAACUACUUUUAUUUAAUUUAGUAUUUUUUUAAAAAAAAUUAUUGAAAAAAAAUUAUUUAACUUAAUUUUAUAAAAUAUUUUAUAUGUAUUCUUAAAGGGUAUAUUUGUCCGUUAUUAUUUCAUAUCCUUCAACUCAAUUUGAAGAGUUAUAUGGACCUUUUGUUAAUUUGGGAGCCUAUCUACCCCAAAAGAUAAUUCUCCCAAUAUAUAAAUACUUUUUAAAGAUGUAAGGUUCAUUUGGGUUCAAAAACAAUAUCCACAUGCUUGGAGACUAAUUCUCAACUUUGGUGGAAGGGUUUGUUUGAUCUCAUGUGGAGUGUCUAUUUGUUUGAUCCUGUCAUCCAUGAGACAUAAUGAGAAAGGUUUUGAUCCAAAACGAAGAAUAUCUGUACAGUUAAAAGUGGAUUAUUACAAAAACUAUCCAUGUUCUUAUACAGUUUUAAUUUCUAACGCUGCAGGGUCACAACAUGACUGUUGUUGAAGCAGACGGGCACUUUGUGGAACCCUUUGUGAUAAAAAACCUCUUCAUUUACUCAGGGGAGACCUAUUCAGUUCUGGUGAAGGCUGAUCAAGACCCUUCAAGAAAUUACUGGGUCACAUCCAGUGUGGUCAGUAGGAACAACACUGUCACUCCUCCGGGCUUGGCCAUCUUCAAUUACUACCCCAACCAUCCCAACAAGUCUCCCCCAACAGUCCCACCCGCUGGCCCUCUUUGGAACGACGUAGAGCCGCGCAUCAACCAAAGUCGUGCCAUUAAGGCUCACCAUGACUAUGUUAUCCCCCCUCCUCUCACCUCAGACAGAGUAAUUCUGAUGCUCAACACACAGAAUGAGAUCAAUGGUUACAGGAAGUGGUCUGUGAACAAUGUGUCCUUCAACCUCCCACACACACCCUACCUAAUUGCUCUCAAGGAGAAUAUCAGUGGUGUCUUUGAUCCAACCCCUGCUCCAGAUUACUUUGACUUGGAAAAUUAUGAUAUUUAUACUAAGCCAAACAAUUCCAACGCCACGUCCAGCAACUCAAUUUAUAGGCUCAAGUUCAACACAACAGUGGACAUCAUACUGCAAAAUGCAAACACCAUGGUCGUGAAUAACAGUGAGACACAUCCAUGGCAUCUCCAUGGGCAUGACUUUUGGGUACUGGGCUAUGGGGAAGGCACGUUUAAUAUGUCCAGUGAUCCAAGAACCUACAAUCUGAUUAACCCAAUUAUGAAGAACACAGCACCUAUUCAUCCUUAUGGAUGGACUGCCUUAAGGUUUCGAUCUGAUAACCCAGGUGUCUGGGCAUUCCAUUGCCAUAUCGAAUCUCAUUUCUAUAUGGGUAUGGGAGUUGUUUUUGAAGAAGGGGUGGAGAGGGUUGGAAAGCUGCCUUCAUCUAUCAUAGGUUGCGGUAAAUCCAAGGGUCUCGGCGGUAGGCCAUAAUUUUUCUUCCCAAUUAUCAACUAAUUGAGGUAAAGUUCAAUUGUAUCACCUUUUAUAUAUUAUGUUCUAGAUGAUACAAAUUCUUUUCGUUCUUGAAUGAUAAAACUAGUUAGAGACUGUUCACAUGGAUCUUGUAGUGUAAUAUUAAAGAUUCUUUUGAUCAAAAGCUCAGAGUUUGGGGCUGUUGGGGCCAUUGGUACUCUGAAUUUCAUCGUUACCAAAUCCUACCCCUUCAAUAAUGACUGGUUCAGAGGUCAGCGUCCCCUCAAUAUCUAAUUAUCAGUAAAUUUGAUGAGGUGAUGUGGUGAGAUGCGCCCUGGUCAACUCUCCAAUUGCCAUUGUUGGAGUUGGUGUUGCCGCUUGUGUAAUUUGCUUGACACUGUUUAUGUAAUUUGUUUUCCAAGAUGUGUUCGCCAGUUUGGCCUAUUUUGGCUUCAACAAGGGUGAUCUGAAACCAUAUAAAAGAAUUCAAUACUGAAUGAUAUAAACGUUGUGUGUUUUUGUUAAUGUUCAAUAGUCCAAUAUAUAUUGACUAUAGUGUAGUUAAUUAGCAAAUCAAUACCUAUAAUUGUGACAGAAAUGAUGGAGUGAAAGUUGUAUAAAAAAACUAAUUAUAACAUAUCUAGAAUAUUCAGAAUAAGUGUUCCUACAAUUAUGGUCUAUCGGUUAGAUAUUGGCUCAUUUUAAUACUAAGCUAAUAAUUUUAGUCAUACUUCUUUUUUCUUUGUACAAUACCAAAUUUUAAUCACAUGUAAUCUCAAGCUUCUUGUCAUGCAUAUUUCCUAAGACCAACAUAAACCUUUAGGACUCUUCAUAGGGACCUAAAUCUCAGGGUACUGACCACCCCCAUAACAACUAGCACCGGAUAAAUUUAAGGUACCAUUAAUGACAUAAUUCGAAACCAAUACCAUAUGCAAUUUAGUGGAACCACACUUCCUAGUUUAUGUUCUGACUAACUAGGCUACCUUGACGAGUAGAAAACAAGUACACAUAACCUCAAGCUUGCUUCUUAAGUCAACGCCAAACAUAGAGCUAAUAUAAACUUGAGCAUAUUUCUUAAAAAAGACAUCUGAGUCUCACUUCAUAAACUAUCAUUCUAUUAGAAAGUGAAAUUAUUGUCCAUGUAACAAAUACUUUCUCUAUCUUGGAGACUUGAACAAUGAUUUAGUUAUUAUAUAUAAAACUUCAAUGAUUUCAUCUGAAAAUCAAUUAACUAUAUUAAAAUCAGGCUAAUUCUCUUUUAUGUUGCUAUAGGUGGAAUGUAUCUGUGGCCGCAACUAGAUGCCUUGAUUUGCAAAUGGUUGCGUCUUUGCGCUACUAUAGGUAUGUGAAAUGCACAGCUACUUCAUUGUGCUGAUUUGAGAAGAUCCAAAACAAAAUUUCUCCAAUGUAGGAAUUUGUUUGGUUUCAUAAAGAAUGUUUAUUUGUUUUAUUAUGCGAUCCCACGAGACAUAGUGAGAAUGUUAUAUUUACAUGGGAUAUGAAGAAAAAAAUCUCUGCUGUUAUAUACCUAUGAACCCCUAUUAAUUAUGUAAAUGUGUUUUAAGACGUGAAGAGAUUUUGAGUCCAAAAUGAAGAAUAUCUGCACAAUUAAAAGUGGAUUAUGACAAAAACUAUCCAUGUUCUGAUACGGUUUUAAUUUCUAACGCUGUAGGGUCACAACAUGACCGUAGUUGAAGCAGAUGGGCACUUUGUGGAACCCUUUGUGAUAAAAAAAAACCUCUUCAUUUUCUCAGGGGAGACCUAUUCUGUUCUGGUGAAGGCUGAUCAAGACCCUUCAAGAAAUUACUGGGUCACAACCAGUGUGGUCAGUAGGAACAACAUUGUCACUCCUCCGGGCUUGGCCAUCUUCAAUUACUACCCCAACCAUCCCAACAAGUCUCCCCCAACAGUCCCACCCGCUGGCCCUCUUUGGAACGACGUCGUGUCGCGCCUCAACCAGAGUCGUGCCAUUAAGGCUCACCAUGACUAUGUUGUCCCCCCUCCUCUCACCUCAGACAGAGUAAGUCUGAUGCUCAACACACAGAAUGAGAUCAAUGGUUACAAGAGGUGGUCUGUGAAUAAUGUUUCGAUCUGAUAACCCAGGUGUCUGGGCAUUCCAUUGCCAUAUCGAGUCUCAUUUCUAUAUGGGUAUGGGAGUUGUUUUUGAAGAAGGGGUGGAGGGGGUGGGAAAGCUGUCUUCAUCUAUCAUGGGUUGCGGUAAAGCCAAGGGUCUCGGCGGUAGGCCAUAAUUUUUCUUCCCAAUUAUCGACUAAUUGAGGUAAAGUUUAAUUGUAUCACCUUUUCUAUAUUAUGUUGUCGAUAAUACGAAUUCUUUGUACUCUUGAAUGAUAAAAAUAGUUAGAAAGUGUUCACAUGGAUCUUGUAGUCCUGAAACACUUGUGAUAUUGAAGAUUCUUCUUACCAAAAGGUCAAGAGUUUUGGGCUGCUGGGGCCACCGGUACACUGAAUUUCAUCGUUGCCAAAUCAUACCGCUUCAAUAAUGACUGGUUCAAAACUCAACGUCCCCUCAAUAUCAAAUUAUCAUUGUGAAUUUGAUGAGUGCGUUAUCAACCUAAUAUUUAGUAAAAGAGGGGUUUUAGCUACUUGCGAAUAGGUUAAAUUUUUUCCUACUUUUAAAAAAAAGUUGUCCUUAUGUCAUAUUCCUUUCCUUGUAAUUAUUGUUCUCCUUGUUCCAAUAGAUCCAACAAAUAUUCUUCUCCCUUAAUCAAGUCUAUAGUUAAUUUUGAUCCAACUCGUGUUAAGAAAUAAUUCAAACAUAAUUUCAAUCUGACUUUUAAAACGAGGUACUCAAUUCAAAUUCAAUUUUUUUUUAAAUAAGAAUAAUUAGAUUUGACUCAAAUUAAUCAAGUUGUAUUUAUUUUUUAUAUAUAUUUGUAUCAAAUUUUAAAUAAUAAAUAAGCAAAAAAAUUUAAAAUAAUAGCAAAAAGUAAAAUUAAAAAAUUUAUAAAGUAUAUGAUAUAACUAUAUUUGACAAUUUUCAUUAAAAAAUUUUGAAUAAUAAAAUUAAUAUUAUUAUAUAAGAUAAUACAAGUUAUAAAUAUUAUCAUAAUAUUACAUCAAAUUGUUAUGUUCGGAUUGCUUGAAUUGUGACUUGAUCAAAUCUAAUUCAAAUUAAGUUAGGGAUUGUAAAUACUUACUCAAAUCCAAUCAAAGAUUGUGAUAGGUUGAGCUAAUCCACCAUAAUUACAACUUUACUAAAAUCAAUUUAAUUACAAAAUAAUUAUUAAAAAAAAUAUUUCUUUAUAAUGGUUACAACUUCUUUGACUAUAUAUAUAUCAUACAAAAAGAAACACACCAUUGUACAAAUAUAAAAAAUAUUAUACAUCUUUUCUUUGUAAAAGCUUAGAACAUCUAUAGCACUUUUUUCUUAAUGGUUCUAAGCAAUUGGAAGAUCAAAAUUGUGUAGAAAAAUACAUUAAUCUUUCAGUGUUAUUCCACGUGAAGCUGUGGCAGUUGGGCUUUGUCAUAAGCUGAAUCAUCUUCACCAGAUGGCAAGUGCUGGCAAUUUGACGUGGCUUCCAUUUGCUGAUGUGGCAUCAUUGUUGGGAUAAUUGAACCCGGUGCCAUCUCAUGCUGCCAUGACAUGUGGAUAUUACGCGGAUAUCAAACAAUUUUAAGUUUAAAACAAAAACAAAAACAGUUUAUUACCUUAGGAGGAGGGUAUGAGGGUUGAGGCAUGAGGGCUGAGAGGAGUUCAGUUGAGGUGUAUGAAUGAUGCCACGGUGGAAGGCCCUCACAGCCCGAGUUGCUGAUGUGGCAUCCUCCCAUGUUGAUUGGGUCCACAUUGAUACUUGUUCCAUGGCCCAGAUUAUCGUAGACAUUCGUUGAUGGAUGGUUCCUGUAAAUAAAAACACCAAUAAAAAAAAAGAAAAUAAAAAAGAAGCAAAUUUUAGGCUGCUUUUUAAAAUUGGAGUAUGGAAAAUCUAAAAAAAAACUAAUAGAAAAAAUAAAAAAUAAAAAGUGAAGAAACUAAAAAAUAUUUUUAAAUUAAAUAAUUCAAUUACCUGCUUCUUCAAUCUUUUUUUUUUCUUUUUUAACUUAGAAUGAAAUACUUUAAAAUAUAUAAAUUUUAAAUAAUAUUUGUAGAUUUCAAUUUUUAUUAUUUGUCAUUGUAUAUAUAUUACGAAAUCAUCGAAAUUUAAGGAUUUGUUUGAUACUUAUUUUUAAAACAAUUAUAAAAAAACUGUUAUCAAUGUUUUGUAGAAGCAAAGUCUAUUAAGAAUCUAAAAUGUUUUUAAUUUAUUUUUUAUAUUUUUAAAUAUGUUUAAAAAAUAAUUUUUAUAUCCAAUACUUUUUUUUUAUCAUUUUAUAUACUUGUAUAGUUAUUUUUUAAUACAACCCUUAGAAAACAAGUGAAAAUAAUAUAAAAUAAUUAAAAAUAUUAUUUAAAAAUAUCAUAUUUUUAUUUUUUAAAAUAGAAAAUAGAAAAUAAUUUUUUUAUUAAAAAAUGUGUUUUCUUGUUUUUUUUUGUUUUUAGAAUAAAAAACUGUUUUCGAAAAUAGUUGUCAAACAUAUCCUAAAAAUCUCUUUGACAAUUUAAAAGAAAAAAAGCAAUUUUACAUAAUUAUUUUUGAAAACUAUUCUUAAAUAUAUGAAGUAAUAAUUUUGAAAGUAUUUUUGGUAUUUUUAAUUGCUUUUCAAAUUACUUCACAAGAAAUAUUUGAAAUUUGUUGUUAAAAACAAAAUGUUUUCAAACAUUGUCAUUCAACUAAAAAUUAUCAAACAUAUUUUUUUUUAAGUUGGUAAACUAUUUUUCUCUUAUGCUUCCUUUCUUUGUAUCAUCCCAAAAAAAUAAAAUAAAAUAAAAUAAUGGAAAUCAUACCUCAGAGGAACACAAGGGUCAGAUCCAAACAUUUGGGUAUGGUUGUGUCCAUUUUCCGGCAACCAGCCCAUAACCUCGUUCUCAAAUGAGGUUGGUAAACCCUCCUGUGAAUCCAAGUACGCCUGCAUGGAUUUGCCUUCUAACUUCAAAAUAAUUUUACAUGCAGACCAAAUUCUUUGUUUUGAAAUCAAGAAAAAGACUUUUAAUGUGAUAAUUAAUUAAUAUUUAAAUAAUAAUUUACAUUUGAUACCUGUAUACUUGCUGGGUCGUAAGUAGAUAAAUGGUUACUCAGUAGAUAUUUCUGCAAAAGAAAGGAAAAAGGAAAAAAUAAAUUCUCAAAAUAUUUAUUUUUUCUAGGAGGAAGAAAUUAGACUAGGGUUUAUUGCUGGAUUUACUUUUCUUUCUGUGACUCGAUUCAAGGCCUCCAACAGGUUCUUCUCACAAGAUUCAAGUUCCCCAGUUGAGGUAAAGGCCAGUGGGUCAGGCUCAAAUAUUCUUUUCAGGUAUGCACAAAAUUAAUUAAUAAAUAAAUUAGAACUAGAAAAAAAAAAAUUUUUAAAAUUACUUGUUAAAUAAUAUAAAAAAUUAUAAUAAUAUUCUGCCUUAAUUGUUCUUCUGCUAUCUGGAGCUGAUGCUGUAAAUUAUUGAUUUCUUGGUUGAGUUCCUAAAAGAAUAUAAAAAAUAAAUAAAAAUAAAAUAACGAAAAUAUUACAAAAAAGGAAAAAAAAAAUGGAAGUUUGGUUUUACCUCCACGUUAGAGUUAACAGCCACAGGACUGUUUCAGAGAAUUAAACAGCACGGAAAAUAUCAAUAAUUAAAAAAAAUUAUAAAUAAAUAAAUAAGGGAGGGGUAGCGAGGAAGACAAACUUGGCAAGUUGCAGAGCAAUGUCAUUUUCUGUCUUGAGCUUCUUAAGGGUACUGAUCAAAUACUGCACGUUCAACAGAAUUCUCAUUUAUUAUUAUUGGUGUUUUACCCUUUUUUUUUUUUUUUUUUUUGCUUUUUUCGAAAAUCUUACCUCUCUGUUAUGGACAAUCCUGCAAGAAAAUUCAUGGCAAAACCAUAAAUUAUUAUUAUUAUUUUGGCAUAGAUUGAACCAAUAAUAACCUGAAAUUUAAAGAAAAAAAAAAUCAUACCCUCCUCUCUCAUGAUCUGGGAGAUUUAUAUAUCGCGUUAGUACAUCUUCAACUCUACAAAAAGACCGGAAAAAAAAUGUUGGUAAGUAUUAAACAUUAUGGAGAAAAAAAAACACGUAAACAAGCAUGCAUGCAUGCAUCGGAGGUUUUGAUCACCUUCUCUUGCCGGAAAAAUGGCUGAGACGACCGGAGUGUGAGAACAUAAUGAGGGCGAUAUCGAUAUCGCAGAGGACUGAGAGCUCAUAAGCCUUUUUGAUGAGUCCAUUUCUUCGUUUAGAGAAUGUGACUUGUCGAUUUGUGUUGUUUUCUAUUCUCUUAAUCUGCAGUUUAACACGACCCAUUCUUUUUCUCUCUCUUUUUCUUCUUCUCUAAGAAGAAGAAGAAUUGAAUUGGAAAAUUUUCCGAGAAAAAAAAAAUUAGAAACGAGAAAAUCUAUCAAUAUAAAGCAAAGAGACAAAAGAUGCGAAACAAAAGGACAUGCACCUGGACGAUUUUUUCUUUUGUCUUUUAGGAUUUUCUUUUUUUUUUUUUUAGUUUUUUUUGUUUCUUGGUAAUAAAAACCAUGUCAAAAUGGAACCGUAAAAAUUGAAGGGUUGGCUGAGAUGAAUGGUUGUAAAGUUAUAAUUUCACCUUGAAGAGUGGAGAAGUUGGUUUUGAAAAUUGAUGAUUUUGACUCUUCCCUACUACCAAAGCCCAUUCAAUUUUGUACUUUAAUUAAACCUCAUGUAGAUCAUUAAUAUUAUAAUUAAUGUUAAGGUUUUCAAAAAGUAAAAGAUCUUGUGUUUUAAUUUUAGAAGAUCCAAAAUUAUGGGUUCAAGCAUUAGACGGGCACAUGCAAGCUAUAAGCUAGUUUGAGGCUAAACUUAGAAUUUAGGGCUUAGUUGGGAACUAUUAUCAAUAUUUUUUUUUAUUCUUUAAAAUAGAAAAUUGUAUUUUAAGUUUGUAUAUGAGUGAAUAAUACCUUCACGUAGAAUAAGUCUAUAAAAACCUUUUUUCAUAUUUGAAUUCUUCUGUUUUUAGAAAAUUGGAGAAUUGUUUUAAAAAACCACCCUUUGAUAAUUAUUGUUAAACAAAGCCUUGAUUCAUAUCGUAGCGUUGAAACUUAGACUUUAUAGGGGACUUUUUGGUAAAUUCAACUUUGGGCUAGAAACUAAAAUUUAUUAUUUGAAAAACAAAAUAAUGAAUGUAAAAAGUAAGCGAAUUAAGUUACAAUGCAUUAUACAACUAUACUUAAGUUUGAAAUUUUAAUAUAAUAUAACAAUACAACUCGAAAUUGACAUGAAUCUUAACGGGAUUAAGCUAGGUGUAAUUCUAUUCAUAUCAUUAUUGUGUCAAUUCAUGUACUAAUUUAAUAAAUGGUAUAUUUAAUCUUGUCAAAAUAACUCAUUUUUAAUCUUAUUUAUUUGUAACAUGUUAACUAUAUCAGAUUGACAUAUUUAUAAUUCAACUCAAUUGUGACUUGUUUAACCCAUAUAAUUUUGUUAAUUUCAUAUAUUUUGAAAUUAAAAAUAAAAAAUACUUCUUUUAAUUAUAAAUAUCAUACAAUUAAAAAUAAAUAAAAUUUGUAUACAUGUUAUAAUUAAAAUAUUAAAUAAAAUAAUAAACAAUAUUAAAAUUAUAAAUAUGUUAGACGGGUUAUAAUCGUGUUAACAAAUUUAAUAGACUAGAAUCACAUUAAUGAUUAUUAGUAUCAAUUUAUAUACAAUCCAACUUAUCUUAUUUAUUAAAUGGGGUUAAAUGAAUUGGGUCAUAUUAUCCAUAUAACAAAUGAGUCAUUUCCUGAGAGGUUAUUUGCAUGGUAGGACACAAUCCAUUGCCAGCCUUUCACAAUUCCACACUAUGGUUGAAGAGAGUUGGGCGGGCUCGGCCUAAGCCCAAAAUUCAAUGAAGGGGCUGCCCCAUGGGCCAGGUAUGGGUGUGAAAAAAUAGCCCAAGCUCAGCCAUUGGGUGAUCGGGUUUGGCUAAAGCCCGGCUCAAACAUGGGAUGGGCUGGACUCUGGCUCAAAACUUUCUGGUGGGCUCGGCCCGGAUUAGCUCGAACUGGGUAAAUUUACAAGCCUGUAAAAUAUAGAUGGGCUUGAAAAAACAGCCCAAGCCCAUUCCCAGGGCCUGUUUGGAAUAUAAACGAGCAUCAUGAUCAGGGCCCUUAAAUUGAUAUAUCCACAUCCAACGGUCAGGAUCUUGUCCUUUAAGCCCGAAGGCACCCGCUAAACAGCCUCAACCUCCAGAUAGGCUCAAGGCUGAAACCAGAUAGAUAGAUAGAAAGGAAGAAAAAUGGCGAUCUCUGCACUAACUGUAGCAACUGUCAAACCCCAAACCCUUCAAACCCACCAUCCUAAACCCUCUCUCUCCUUCAAACCCAUCGCUAAUUGCAUUUCUUCAACAAAGAGACCAGUAUUGGAUGUGGGUAUUGGGCUUUUGGCAGCUUCAGUGGUGGCUUUGUCUCCAUUGGAGGCAACUGCCACAAGAAUCGAGUACUACGCCACUGUAGGAGAGCCCAAUUGUGAGCUCAACUUUGCAAAGUCCGGGCUGGGUUACUGUGAUGUUGCAGUGGGAUCUGGUGAGGAGGCUCCUUUUGGUGAGCUUAUCAAUGUGAGUAGAGUUAGUAGUUCCCCAAAAUCACCCAUGUGGGUUUGUUGAUUUGAUCAUGUCUUUAUGUUUAGAUUGUUCCUGCAUGUUUUUUUUUUUCUUUUGGCUUGGAAUAGCUAUAAUUGGAUGCCCCAUUGAUGAAUUCAUUGGAAAAACUAGAGUUAGAUAUACAAUUGCAAUUGUUUUUCUUAUGGAAUUGUUCUGUUUUCCUCUCUUUAUAGGUUCACUACACUGCAAGAUUUGCUGACGGGACAGUCUUUGAUAGCAGCUACAAACGUGCCAGACCUCUCACUAUGCGAAUUGGUGCUGGAAAGGUAUGAAAUCUUCUUCAUAAUUAUACUGCUUCUUUGAUUCAAUCUCGUUGUCAACGAUUAGGGCGGUGAUUUUAUUGGGUUAGAUCCUAUUUAGCAAUUGAUCAUGCUUAGAAUUCUUAAAGUAGGAUCUUGCAGUGCAUAAAAGGUAAACCACAAUAAUUAUGUUUAUCCUUGAAUGUGAGAUUAUCUUCAAUCUAAAUGAUACGUUUGAAGCUAUGGUGUAUGUUGUCUGACUCUACAUGUUAUACAUGUGAUUUAUGCAAUUUAAAUGGAAAGAAGUUUUGAACGGUAACCAGUGAAACAUUCUUUCUUAAUGGGUUGUUAUCUCUUGUUUAGUUUACCAAUCCUAUAACAAUUACAUUAUCUUGGUCCUCAGGACCUUGAUUAUCUUGUUUAAAUGUAGAUUUUGAUGUAUGUCAAGUUACAAAGAGUUUGGUGUAAUUUAGUACUUGAGUUACAUUUAGCAGAAAGACCUCCUUGAUUCUUUUUGUACUAAUUCCUUGUUUAUGUAAGACUCAUAUUUAAAUCUCGGGAAAUUGCAACAUUCAACUUGUUCUUCUAUGCAAUCUUUAUCUUGCCAUGACCAAACCACCUUCUCGUAAUCACUUCUUAAUAAUAUCUCUAUUGCUAAUACCUUUGUAUUCUAUGCAGAGUAUAAUAAUGUGCUGUUGAUAAUGCUUCCAUCAAUUCUUAAUGACUCUUUUGUGAAGGAUGGAGUAGUGUCUUAGGAUGGAGUAGUGUCUUCAAAUGUAAUACUUGUUAUACUGAAUAAAAUAGAAUAUUUUGUUACAAUGUGUCCUUGUACAGUCUGAUAAAAUGUAUGGUAAUGAGAAAACUUUUCUGUCUAAAACUUGUGAAAAACUAUGAUUUCAUUUCCUGUAUUCUGGAUCUACCUAAAUUGUUUUUUGAUUCAUUUUUUAUCUUUGUGUCACCAGUUGAUUAAGGGACUGGAUCAGGGAAUUUUAGGGGGUGAAGGAGUACCUCCAAUGUUAGUAGGUAUGACUUUCAACAUAAUGAGCAGGCUUCUAUAGGUGUUUGUUUUGUAUGUUUCUUAGGAAAAUUGUGACUUUAGCAACCUUACACAGGUGGAAAGCGGAAGCUUCGGAUUCCUCCAGCGUUAGCAUAUGGGCCAGAACCUGCAGGCUGCUUUUCUGGUGAGGUUCCAAAUAUAACUGAAGAUUCCCGUGCUCCUUGAAAAUAUUUCCAAGACUUUGAAGUGCCAACCAUGUGUUUGUAAUCAUCUAACAUGAGAACAAAUUGAGGGCUAUCAAACUAACUGGCACUUUUGGACAGCAGAACAGAUCAAUUUGGUUAUUUUUACAAGAGAAACUCCAGUCAAAUUAACAUGUUCCCCUGAACCAUCUUUUCAAAAAAGAACAAAAAAAAUCCUGAACAAGAUUUUGGAAUGACAUUCUUAUGGACCAUUCCAGUCAGAAGUAUAGUAGUUGUGGAUUUUAUUUUUUUUCAAGCUUGAUUGUGCCAUGAUUGUCAUAUGCUUUUGGCGGUAUGAUUGCUUAAAGAUCUUCUAUUCUUUUCCAGUUUAUGAUAAAAGAAAUAUAGGCACGACACUCAAUCCAUUCAGCCACCAAUUUGCAACAUGUUUAUUUUAAAUAAAUGACCGUUAUGAUAUUAUUUACACAGGUGACUGCAAUAUACCUGCCAACGCUACUCUUCUUUAUGAUAUUAAUUUUGUUGGCAUCUAUUCGGGAAAUGCGAAGUGAAGGAAGCCAAUUCAUGCAAAAGCUGAUAGAUGAGAAGCCUAGUGCAUAUUCAAGUGAGUUUCCUGACCACUCAUCCUCAAGUGGCUUUCAUAUUGUUAUAUGGAAGCUGAGAUGGGAUCCAAGCAUUAUAAACACCUUUAUUAUUGCCCACAUGACCUGCAAAUUAAGGACAAGGACCUUAGAUAAAUGGUUCCUUCUAAUACUUCUUCUUUUUUUUUUUUAAUUUUUUAUGCAUUGUGUCUGCAUAUGAUCAUAUCACAGCAUGUCAUCUUAUCCUUAGUUACCUUGGCAAUACCACAUCAUAUUCAAGCUUGCUUUUGCCAUGAUUAAGCCCAUACUUAAAGUCAUGGUUCUAUAAGACCUAUGCUUUAAUGCUAAUAGUCCAAAGGAAGUCACUGUGCAUAGGAAGAUAUUGAAGCAGUUUGGUAUGCAUUCUGCAGUUUAGCUUCAAAAUCCUGCAGGCAUGUGCCAUUUAGCAGUGAAAUAACACCUGGAAAAUAUGUAAGAUUGCUUGAUUUUUGGAUAACACUAAAUGAGACUAGUGCUGACAUGCAAUCUAUCUUUGAUCUUCUGUAUUUAUCUAAAAUUGAUUUUUUGAAAGUUUAAAGCAGGGGAAUCCAGAUUUGGUUAGGCUAAACUGAAACAGAAGGCAGAAUAUGGCUCAAACCCGUCACCUUAUUCAAAAAGCUGCAAUGCCCCUUGCUGGCUAAUUCAGCUUGGUGUGCUCGGUCCUGGGAAUUCUUCUAUCCUUUACUGGGGUAAUUGACCGCCCUAUUGAUUAAAUAAUAUAUAUGCAUUUGCACAUAGCAUACAGCUUGAUUACCUAAAUGUAUUUAUUUGGGAUACUGUUGUUUAAAUUCAAUUUUGUAUCAAAUUCCUUACAUUAAUAUGCCCUUUUGGGGUUGUUUCUGGAGCUGUUUUAUUAUACAUCUGAAAACUUUAUCAUCAGAGGUAGUUGUACAUUUAGUUUACACUAUCUACAAUCUCAACAUCCUGUUUGCCUUAAAUGCAGAACAUCACUACACCCAAAAUCAUAUAAAAGAAAUUGACUUAACAAGAGAUUAGUAAUUAGUUGUUUUGCAAUAUCUUGCUCACAUCACAAUGUUCAUCGAAGAUGAUUAUGAUCAGCUAAUUGAUCUGUCCAUGUAGUUUAUCUUUGAUGAAUGGUGACCUUCCACUUAUUUACUUAUUAUGAUGCCAUUCUUGUAGAACUGUAAACAUAACCUAAAAGUCUUCUCCAUUUUUUGGCAGAUAGUAUGUGAUGAAUUCAGUAACGAUUGUUUAUUAUAGAUUAGGAUCAGGAAUUGACUUCAGAGUUGGAGUGCACUACGAUGGAGAUUGCUCUUUGCUUUUUAAAUUCAAUUUUAACUUUGCACUAAAUUGAAGGUGGGGUAGAAGAAGAUAUGCUUCCCAAAACUCUAGGUGUUGCAUAAGAAUCACUAUACUUGUGUUUCUGAUGUUGUCUUUGGCAUUUACUUUAGUAGCCAGAAAGGAUUAGGAAAAGAAAAAGAGGGGUAAAAGCACAGAAGGCUGAUUCUCUCCUCACAUUUGAUUGAGUGAGAGAAGAAGAAGAAGAGGGAAAAGAAGAUGCCGAGGUGGCAGAAGUUUGGGAAGAUGGUGGUGCUGGUCCUGUGACUGGGACAGCAUGGCCCUGGUGUUACCAGUGGUAGCGCGAUGGAGCUUAAAGUGAACAUUUUGCUCUCACCAUUUUCAAAUGAAAAUGGAGGGGCCAAAAACAAAUGUUCUUUCCCAUCCUAACUCGAACUUUCUUACAACUUUUCUAUGCCAACAUGAAACACAGGAUCUGCUUUCAUUAGCCUAUUCCUUUCCUGAUGCUAGCUCUUUCCAGGAACCUAAAGGAAAAGUUAAAUUUUUGUAUCAAGUUAAAACAAUCAAGGAAUUUUCCCAGACCUAGGCAGUAGAUCACCUAAUAAGUCCUGAUCUGGAUUUUAACUUGAAUCUAGUAAUCAGCUUGCAGAUGCAGUAAGUUAGAGAAAAACCCGAAAUCUGAGGAAAUGAACCCUUUAAGCAUGAUCCGAUUGCAUCAAGUGAGCACAUAUUUGAAUUUCAUUGUCCUCCCUUUUUUCCUAGAAUUGUUUUCAUUUUUGUGAUUUUCUUUUCUUAACUUGAUAUCGGAAAAUGGCUGAAUGAACAACUUUCCUGCAUCUUCCAUUAUAUAACAUAUUCUACAUGCUAGCUCAUACCUAAAAUCCCAUGAAAGACCUUGGAGAAGAAAGGUUGUGGAAGCAAAAGCUUUAUAUAUGGACCUUUUCCACUUUAUUUGUUAUAUUCUUUCUUUUGCUCACUACAAUCAGUUACUGUAGACAUAGAAGUUAUGCCCCACAUUACCUAUAUGUAGCACCCAGUUUGGUUUCUUUAUUAUAUAGCUGUACACAAGCCAUCUCCAUUCCAUAAAUAAAAGAGAAACCAUAACAUCAUGUAUAAGGACAACAAUAUAAAGUACUCUAUUACUAGGUGUCUCAUAACAACCCACACUAUUUUCAUCAAAUACCUAAAAUCAUUCCACAUCUCCAUGGCCAUCAAAACCACUCACAGCAAAGUUACAAAUAGUAAUACUAAUAAUGAUCACAGAUCCCUUCAUCUACUGCUAAUCCUCUCACUAUCUUUCUUGAAAAUGAAAAGACAAAAGGAAAAAAAUAAAGAGAUUUUACAGAAGUGGGUGGGAUUUAGGAGCAGGGAGGUAGAUAAAAAAACAGGGCAUUUAAUACUACUUUCUUAAGCUACAUAAUAGAACAAGCAUUUGGGUUCUCAUCACUGAACAUGGUGAUGUAAGGGUCUUCAUAUCUUGUCACAGUACCACUGAUGGGGGGUUGCUCUACAUUCCUGACAUACCCAGGGGGAGCCUUCUUGUCAUAAGCAUGAACAGCAUAGGGCUGAGCCACUAGGUUGUAAGGAACAUAGGGCCAAAGCUCAGCCUUUUUCCCUGUUGAUUUGGCCUUCUUCAACACCUUGUUUGCAUCAACAUACCCAGUUACAGUCACCUUCUGCUGUUUCCUGUUUAUAUCCACAGAUUUAACUCCUGCACAUGACAGUUACAACUCAAGUUGAUCAGCCACACACUACUUUUGAGUAAUGUUAUAACAGACAAGAAGAGAUGGAGAAGAAGGGCAACAUACCACUUAAUGAAGAGAGGGUUUUCUUGAC